ACACACACACCCGCACGCCACACACGCACACACGCUUGGAGAGGGAAAGAGAGAACCCACCCAUUUUCUCUCUAAAUCUCUCCCAAAAUUGAAGGUUUUGGUGGAGAAGCAAGCUUGGAAGUUGAUCUUCAUCUUCUUCGUCUUCUUCCUCUCCAUUAGAGCAAGCUUUGAAGGUAAGCUUCAAACCCUUUAAUGGCAUUUCUCUCUAGUUUGGUUUUUAAGCUCUAAGAAUGGAUUUAGAGGUAUUCUAGCAUGCUAAUUAGAGGUUUGAUGCUUGAAACCAAGGCUCUAAUGGUGGAUUUUUACCUAGUUGUAAUCUAGGGCUCAAAAAUGCUAGUUUUGUAAAUAUGAGGGUUUGAUCUCAUUUGACCCUCUGUAAACCUAAUUGCUAGGUAAACGAACGCGUUGGCGAAGUCGGUUCGGCGAUUCGUCGAGCCGUUGCGAAGUUAUUAAAGAAACGGACGUUUAGGCUUCGUUUCCGCCUGGAGGGCCGAGGCGACAUCGUAAACCCAUGAAAACGGAUUUGAAGCAUCGUGGCACAUAACCGAAGACCUUUAAUUUUCGGAUCGUGAAUUGGAGGCCGUUCGGGUGGUCGCGCGAGAGAUCGGGCCAAACCGGGUGCCGGGUGCCGCGGGAGGCCGAUUGCAAGUGUCGACAAGCAAUCGGAAUGCGAAAUGAGGUGGGUUGUGCUUACCGAAGCGAUUAGGUCGCCUGUAUGUCUAAGAGAAAUGAGAUUUCAUAUUGAUGCAUGUUGACAUAUAAUGUGAAAUGCUAAAGGAAUGCAUAUUGACAUAAUGUAAGAAUGUGAAAAGAAGUAUGUUAACAUAUUAUAGAAUGCUAGAUAAAUGCAUGUGAUUAAUGAUUUGAAUGCAUAAGAUAAAGGGCAUAUGAAUGUUAACAUUAUAAGAAUAUGCUUAAAGAAAUGCAUAAUGACAUGUUGUAGAGCAUGCAUGUGGAUAAUGCUAAGUAAUGGUAUGAUAAGCAUGAUUUAGAAAUAAUGAAUGCAAGUAUGUGGUUAAUGUUAAGAAAUGGAAAUGUGCAUAUGGAUAAUCUAUAUACAUUAGAUCGAGUGGCACUAAAUCUAGAGUCAUGGACAUAGGUUAAACAUGGAAGCUAUGAACCUAGUGUCUUGAACAUAGGUUGAACAAGUAUAGUGUGAACCUAGUGUCAUGAACCUAGUAAACACUUGUGGCAUUUGAGCAUAUAUAUUUUGUACCAUUCAUGUAUGAUAGGGCUAAAUACAUGUGAACCUUGGUUGCUUUCAAUGACAUGUUUCUAACGAAGUUGAACAUAGAGAAAGGUAGAACCAUAAUGAACAUGUAUGUUAGGACCCUAUUAUUGUGUGAAUGUGAGAGUUGGACUUGGACAUUAGUAAACAAAUGUGACAUGGACAAUAGAGACAUUGAUUGGCAUAGAGAACAUAGUUAUUAAACAUAGUUUAACCAAGAGUGGCAUUGAGACAAGAAUGACCUAGAGAGCGGCUUGAAUAAAUAGGUAGAAAACCUAUCAUGAUUGUGGCAUUUGUGGCAUUGUGGCUUAUGGCUAUACAUUCCCAAAUUGGGAAUCGGAUCAUACUCACAUUGAGUCUUGGCUUGAGGGAGGUCGCUCCUCCUCAAGCGGUGUGUUUCCAGAAAUCGACACCGCAGGGAGCGAGGUUGUAAUACACUGAACUUUUGCAAAUUGCGAAGUUCGAGUGUGUGGAAUGGUGUGUGGAUCACUCCUACAUGUUCUAAAAGGUUAGAACAAGUGUUUGGACAAGUUUGAGAGUGAUUGGAAUGCAAAAUAUAAGAAAAUGCAUUGACCUCCGAAAUUUCAGCAUUUUCUGCUUGCUGUACCGGUACAGCCAUUACCUUGUACCGGUACAAGCUGGCAGAUUCGUGAUAGCAGGGCCAAAUUGGUCAUUUCACAUCUUGUGCCUACCUAUUUGAUCCCAGCACGACUCUUGGAGCUUGCUGGAGUGUGCUAGAGCCCAGAGAAGCAACCUUGCAUCAUUUUCUCUCUCUCUCUCUAGGGUUUUUCUCUCUCUACAAAGAAUUCGCCGAUUUCGCUCNNNNNNNNNNNNNNNNNNNNNNNNNNNNNNNNNNNNNNNNNNNNNNNNNNNNNNNNNNNNNNNNNNNNNNNNNNNNNNNNNNNNNNNNNNNNNNNNNNNNCAUACAGUUAGAAUAUACAAUAGCUUAUCUUACCCCCCAAUUUGGGCAACGGUAGAAUCGACGUCCUUGGCUUGUUGGCUGCUUCGAUACCCAUAUUCUACAAGAUCUUCCGCAGUCGCACACAGGAAUUUGUGUGUCAGGAGUUGAUGCAGAUCUCUCACUUAGAUGGCUCUUAUGGCUAGAAGUGAGGCAAAUAAGAGAAAAAAAAAAGCUAGUAGAUGGAGAAGUAAGCUUGACUUAUUUUUGAGCCAUGGAUGUGCUUUUAUAAUGUUAGAAAAGAAGGUUACCGUUGAAAUGACCGUUGGAGGGUAAAUAGGAAACGAAUUUGAUAUUUUAAGGGCAAAUAAGAAAAGUAUUGGCUACAUGGAGGGCAUAAAAGAAAAGUAGGUUACGGUACGAGGGUAUAUUGGAAUGGGCAAAAUGGUAAUUUUGCAGGGAUAACGGCAACUGUUAGCACCUAACUGACGGAAUUUAACUGCAGGGGUAAAUUAGAAAGAACUUGGAACAUAAAAAAGGCAUUUUCAAUAUUAGCCUUCUGAUAGGGGUAAAUAAAAAAAUCAGAAACUUUUUAGGGGUAUAUAGGCAAUUGCCCCAAAAAUAAAUAUCUGAACUGAAAAAAUCAAAUUGAUGACGAAAUACAAAAUAAUCUUUAAUGCUUAGGGACUCAAUUGAAAUCUCCUCGAUGAAAGUUAUGAUCUCAAAUGUUGAAAUAACACUGGUAGUCCCUAACCUUCGCAUCAAUUUUUAUUUCAGUUCCCAACCUUUUUUUUGCAAUUAAGUCCUUAGUCUCUUAAUUUUAUUACAAUUACGUCUCAAACGUUAAAAAAAUGAUUAAAAUUAACGGAAUCGCCACAUUAACGUCUAUUUGGCAUUCUUUUGCAUGUCACUUUAGGUCCCUAAACUUUGCACAUUUUUCAUUUCAGUCCCUAAAAAUAAAAAUUUUAAAAUUUAAAUUUAAAUUCAAAAAUAAUAUUACAAUUAAAAUUUUAAAAUGACAACAAAUUAGAAUUUUUGAAUUUGAAUUUAAAGCUGAAUUAAAAUUUUGAAUUGAAAUUCAAAUUUUAAAUUUAAAUUUUUAAUUGAAUUUAAAAUUUGAAUUCAAACUUAAAAUUUUGAUUUUGAUUUUGAUAUUUCAAUUUACAUUUAAAAUGAAAGUUUUGAUACCGAAAUUUAAAUUUAAAAUUUGAAUUUAAAUUUAAAAUCAUAUUCAAAAUUUUGAUUUUAAAUUUUAAAUUUGAAUUCAAAAUUUAAAUUUGAAUUUAACAUUUGAUUUCAAUUAUAAAUUUGAAUUUAAACUUUGAAUUCAAAUUAACAUUUUGAAUUUGAAAUUUCAAAUCGAAGUUUGAAAUUAAAUUAGAAUUUACAAUUCCAAAUGUGAAUUUGAAUUUAAAAUUAAAUACAAAAUCGAAAUUUCAAUUCCAAUUUAAAUUUGAAUCCAAAAUCAAAAUUUAAAUUUAAAAUUUUAAAUCUUAAAUUAAAUUUUUUUUUGAAUUUAUAAAUUUAAUGGGUCAAUUACACCAUUGGUCCUCAACCUUUGUAUCGUUUUUCAAUUUGGUCCCAAACCUUUUUUUUUUUGCAAUCCGUUGACACGACACCUCCUAGGCGCUGAUAUGAUGCUGACGUGGUAGUUUACGUCAAUUUUAACAGCUAUCUAACUGCUGGGACUUAAUUGAAAUGGAAUCAAGAGAUUAGGGACUUGAUUGCCAUGAAAAAAAAGUUGGGGACCAAAUUAAUAAAUAGUGUAAACGUUAGGGACCAUUGGUGUAAUUAACCCGUUGAAAUAAAGAAUUUGGCGACCAAUCCGAAUAUUACUCAAAGUUUAGGGACCAUUAGCGUAGUUUACCCUAUUUUCUGGUGCUCUUUAAAGGGCGGCCAGAGCCCAAACCCUAGAGAAGGCCUAAACCUCCCCGCAGCUUUUCGCCACGCACCGGAGCGCUUCCUCUUCCCCUUUCUCUUUCUUGGUCGCCGCUCUCCGCUCUCCGCUCGCCGCCGCGUAAUUUUUCUUCCCCUCUAAUCCAGUUGGUGAUGGAGUUCUGGGGUAAGUCCUCUCCUUGUUUUCUUCUUCUUCUUCCUCUUUUUUCGCAUCUCCUGCUAUCACUCCUCCGGUGUUUCUUUUGUGUUAUUUGAUCUAUCACUCAAUGUCGCAAUAGUUUCUAUCAUACGUUUUUCUUCUCUAUUUGAUUCCCCGUUUCAUCUCCUCUUCCUCUUCCUCUUUCUCUUCCUCUUGUUGUUUUCUAUUAUUUUCUCUUUCUUCUUCAGGCGUUGAAGUUAAACCCGGAGAGACCGUCAAGUGCGACCCCGGAGACGACAAAUAUUUGCAUCUUUCGCAGGUCUUUGAUUUUUUUUUCUUUUUUAAUUUUUUACCGAGUUGUUUUUUUUUUUUUUUUUUUUUUUUUUUUUUUUUUUUUUUUUUUUUUUUUUUUUUUUCAAAAGUGCUGUGUUCUAGCAGAGCAUUUUAGCUGGUGCAUCUAUACUAAUUAUUAUUAUUAUUGCCGUAUUAAAUGAUAUUCAGGCGUCACUAGGGGAAACUAAGAAGGACAGGGCAUCUGAGAGCGUUCCGAUCUAUGUGAAGUUCAACGAUCAAAAGCUGGUCCUGGGAACCCUGUCCACAGACAAAGUCCCUCAAAUUUCUUAUGAUUUAGUCUUUGAGAAAGAGUUCGAACUCUCUAACAGUUCCAAGAACGCCAGCGUCUACUUCCUUGGCUACAAAACUGUUCUUGGCGACGAUGAGGAAUAUCCUUUCAAUUUUAUGAAAUUUUGAAUUCCUGCUGUUUUGUUCUUUUUUUUGAACUUUUUUUGAACUGCUUGCCUCUCAGUUGAUUUCCUUGACUCCAUUCUUUUGUCCUCCUCCAAGCCUUCUGAUUUCGGAGGUAACUUCGCUUUGUUAUUAAGUGUUUUUUAAUUUGCCAAGCAGGACUGUUGUUUCAUCAUCUGAUUCUCUGCCGUUUCUUUCUUCUUGCUUUCAGAUACUGAUUCUGAAGAUGAAGACAUUCCUCUAGGCCUGAGCUCAAAUGGUACUUUAUAUUGAAAAUAAUAAUGGUUUAAUCGUCUAAGUUUGUCGUAUUGUUCAUACAGGUACAUAAUGCGUAAACCGAUUGCUUAAGUUUACACUAGUGGUUGUAGAAGUGUGUGAGUUGUAAGAAACUUGCUUGCUGAGCACUAGUCUAAGCAACUUGCUUGCACAUAUGCACAUAUCCAGAAUUUCAUUGAAAGUACUAGAUUUCUUUAGAUAAGAAUUGGGGGGUGUUUAGCCUAGAUUUUGGAAAGUAAUUUUUAGGGCCAGAAGUGAUUUUUUUUUUUCUUUAAUAGAACGUUUGGCAACCUCUCUUUUUUAAAAUAUGAUUAUGAUUCUUACUUUUCUGAUUAUUGAGGCCCAAAACUGGAGGCAAUUAAAACCUGCAUCUUAAAAUAUGAUUCUAAUUUUGAACUCAAAAUUUUAAAAUUUUAAAUUCAAAUUAUAAAUUUAAAACAGAUUUUAAAUUUUAAAUUUUCAGGUUUUAAGUUUCUAAUUUCAGGUUUCAGUGUUUGGGAUUUUGGGUUUUGGGGUUUUGGGGUUCAAGUUUCACGUUUCUGGGUUUUCGUAUUUUGGGUUUCAAAUUUCAAGUAAAUUUAAAUAUACAAUUUUGAAAUCGAAUUUUAAAUUUUAAAAUUUUUAAGUUUUUCAAAUAAAUUUAGAUAUUAAGUUUUAAAUUUCAAAUUCAAUAUUAAAUUUUAAAUUUCAAAUUCUAAUUUAAAAAAAAAAUUAAUUAAAAUUUGAUAUUUAGGGUAAAAUUAAAAAUUUCAAACAUGUUUAAAUUUCUAAACUUCACAUUCAAAAUUUAAAUAUAUGGUUUUAAACUUUUAAAUUUUAAAUUUCAAAUUUUGUAUUUUGGUCAGAUUUUAAAUUGAAUGUUUUAAAAUUUUAAAGUCAAAUUUAAAUUUUAAAUUAAAAUUUUAAAAUAAAAUUUAGCAAAACAGAUAUUAUUUGCAACGAAGAAAAUUUUGCCACAUAUUUUUAUCAAAGUUCUUUAGAAAAAUCACUUUUCUAUUGCACCCAAUCAAACACUCCGCACCCUUUAACCAAAAUUUAUUUUUCAAAUCAAAAUCAAUUUUGCAGAAAUCGCUUUUUCAGAAUUUAGGCCAAAUAGUCUCUUAAUUAGAGAACUGAAUUCUCCCAAAUUAAUUCAAAACUUAUGCAAAAUAGGAAGAAUGACCGCUGUCACUAAUUUCAACAAAUUUUAGUAAAAUUUUUUGUUUAGUGGAAAACAAUUCUUUUGAAUAUGGAAAAUCAAAAUUCCCCAAAUUGUGCUUUUGUUGUCAUUUUGAUCAUUGAUCUGAUGAAUAGUAGUUGAAAAAAAGAAUUUGGAAAGAAACUCUAAACUUGUUUGGUUGAAGAAACUAGUCUACAGAAAAGGUGCUUCGAGCUGUGCUGUUGCACAGCGGUUGUGUCAUGCGAUACUUGGUUGGCAUAGUACGAGGGCCAUGUUGAUUUGCUCUUAAUUCCUAGGUUGCGAGGUGGCUUUUAUUGGUAGAAUAUAAAGCUGGAAUUGUUUCUUUUGAUUUUUAAGGGAAACCCAUGGUAAAGGAGGAAGAGGUGAAGCCUGCAGCAGCUAAGAAUAAUACUGCAAAGGCUGAUGCCUCGGCUGCAAAGACCAAGGUCAAGAUAGAGGAACCAAACAAGGCUAGUAGUAAACAGGAAGCAGAUGAUGAGGAUGACGAUGACGAGUCUGAAGAAGAUGCAUCCGAUGACGAGGAUGGCGAUGAGGUAUUUGUUAAAUAGGAAGAAGAAAAGGCUCAUGUAUUUACCCUUUUUUCUGUUUUGUAAUAUUUGUGUAGAUUUGCGAAGUAUUUGUAGUUACCAGUUGACACUUUCCAAGUAAUAUACUGCUUAAGUUGAUGGUUAUGAUGUGGAAAUCAUUCUUUUGACAAGCAUUACCUAGGGGUGGGCUUUCCUGGGGCUAUGCAUCUCUAAAUAUGCUAGUAUUUUUGUUUGCAGGACAUGCUCGAGGGAGAGGAGGAUAGCGAUGAUGAGGAUGAUAGUGAUAGCUCCGAUGAAGAAGAGGAGGAAACGACCCCUAAAAAGGUCUGAUUCCCAUCGGGCUUCUUAUUUCAUACCUACCCUUUGAUCUUUAUUUAUUUUCAAGCAUUAUUCUGCAUUUAUAUUUUUUAAUGAUCUUUUAUUAUAGGCCGAAAGCAAGAAGAGACCUGCCGAGCCUGCUUCGAAGUCGGGGAAAAAAGCAAAGCUGGCGUCCCCAGCGGUGGGCCAAAAAACAGGUUCUUAUCUACUUUGUUCUUUAUUUGAAUGAAGCUGCUUCUUCAGUAAUAUGAGCAUUCAGUCUUAAUAUUCUGCCACUAUUGUGGAGUCUGUCAUGGGGUAAUUUAGUUUCAUCACAUGCCGUUUUAUAUCCUCUUGUGCUAAAUACAUAGCAGAUGGGUGAAACUCAUAUAUUAAAAAUAUACGAGCAGGUGGUGAUGGUAAGGUAGGUGGGCAUGUUGCGACUCCACAUCCGGCCAAACUAGUUGGAAAGACGCCUGCGAGCAAUAAGCAGCAGCAGACUCCGAAAUCUGUUGGUUCGGUCACUUGCAAGUCAUGCUCCAAGUACGUCUCCGGCCUCCUCUCUCUCUAGCCUUCCUGUUCUCUUUCGUAUUACAUGAAUUAGUGGAAGUUUUGGCAAUGCCAUAUCAACUGCUCUCUUGUAUCGCAGGAAAUUCAACAGUGAGAAUGCUCUUCAAGCUCACACGAAAGCGAAGCAUAGCGCCGGCAAGUAAGUUGGAAGGAAUAGAACGUGAGGAAUUCUAGAAGCAAGUGGUUAUGGCUGUGGAAGUGAGAUUACUGAGUCGAAGUUGUCAUCGUUACGCGUUAUUCUUCUUUUUGGCUUUUUCGUUUUUUCCCUACUAUAAUCGUUGCUGAACUGUUGCGCACUUACUUUUAAAGACUCGUCUUAAUUAUUUAGGUCAGUGUCUAUUAGCUUCAAUUAAAGAAAAUGAUUUUGUGCCGUCAUUCUGUUAUCGAUUUUCUGUAGUAUCUCUGAAGCGCUCAACUGUUGGGCUGUAUUAAUUGCUUGCUAAGCCAGGAGAGGUGAAUCUUUUAAGGCGUUAGGAGUUUUGGUUUUGUAGAAGGAUAGCUAUGGUACUGUUUUAUCAAAAGUAAUUCUUUGGAGAAGGAUUGCUAUGGUACUAUUUUAUCGAAGCUAAUUCUUUGGAGAAGCGAUGAAAUUGGUGGGCAGCUGCUGUUUGCUGUUGAUUGUGGUUUAGGAUACAGAGGUCACUAUAAUCUACAUGUGGAAAGCAGUUGAUAGUUUUUAACGCAUGAAGUUUUGCGGUUGCGGUGUCGUUUAUGGUUUGUGGUUGGCAUGGUCAUCCGCGCGCCUUUGAUGGGAGUUUUCGGCAGAAGCAGAGUAACCUCUGUUCUCUCUUGUUCUCUCUUCCUCCCGUCGGCUAAUCCCCAAAGGCUGGGUUUUGAUGAUGAAGCCCUUUGGAAACCCCUUUGCCUGCAGCUCCAUUCUGAUCCAGCUGUGCUGUGGUGCCUUGCAUUAUCGCCCUUUAGUUGUUUGUGGAAAUGCUAGUUUGGUCUCCUAUCCUCCUUUGUCCCAAACCUCUAAUAAUAAUAUCGGUUUCUUAAAAGCUUUCAUGUGGUUUAUCGUACAAUUUUCCUACUGAUAUUAUGUUUUAAGGAUUGAUCGAAUUUUUUAUUUUGGAAAAUUUGGAAGUUUAUUGUUAGUCCAUCAUUUGUUUAAUGAAAUGUCAAUUUCAGCCUCUCCUUUCCCAAUUCCCGUUAAACGUCAAUAAUUUUAAGUUCAAUUUUUCAGAGCUUUUGUGUCUUUGGAUUCCAAUAGUUGUGGAUGUUUUCUAAGAUUAGAUUUUGAGUUCUGUUAGUGUUGUUGGCAUAUUAUGAUUUGGUGUAUGGCGUGCCAUACUGAUAGAUUUCAUUUAUAAAUAUACUUAUUUGCAGAUAUAUAAUGGUACGAAAUAUUUAUAUUUUUGAAUAUUAAUAUAUUUUAAUUGUUUAUUUAUAUUUUUAUUAAAUUUUUUUUUUGUAUUUAUUUUUGUAAUCUAUAAAUCUAUAUGAAGCCAUAAUAUUUUUGCCACAUGACAGGUUAUCUUUCAUUUUCAUAACUCAACUUUAAAUCAAAUCACCUUUUUCUCUUCUCAACACCCAACCCUUCACCUCCCCACUCCUGUAAUUAUAUGCAAGAUGCAAUAUUUAAUUAUAUGCAUCAUAUUAAUAUUCGUUAAUCCACUUUCCUUCUCCAUUAAUCUCCCACUCCCUCUCUUUUGUAACUCUUUUGCAUGCACCAUAAAUUUUUUUUUUGCCACGUGAUAUGUUAAAACUAUAAAUCAAACCACAUUUUCCUCUUCUCAACGCCCAACCCUUCACCCCCCACUCUAAUUACAUACAAGGUGUAACAUUUAAAUGCAUGCAUUAUAUUAAUAUUCUAUCAAUUAGUGGGUUCUAGCUAUAAUUUUAUUCUUUUAACAGUUGAAUUUAGUCAUGCAAAUUGGUUGUACUUAAUAUGGUAUAUUUUCCUAUAUAUCAAUAAGAUGUAAAUAAAUUUUAUUAAAAUUUUUAAAUUUUGUUUCUAUUAUCUACCCGCUGCGUCGCGCGAGUCUCUAUACUAGUUAUUUAUUAAUUUUAGAGGGAAAAAAAAAGGUUUUUAAACCUUGCCAUCUGCACUGCGUGGUAGGGUUUCAAAACCUUUUUCGAGAAUGCUAGUUUCAAGAAAAGAGGGUGUAGUAUCCCUGGUAUUCUGCAGUUGUGAGAUUUCAGCAUCUGAAGCUCAUCGACAUAUCUGGAGAGUGUCAAGACAAGUCCGAAUCGUUUUGGCGUGAAAUAGACGCAAAACGGAUUCAGUGUGACGUGAGAGCAGGAAUUUAGCAUUUAAAAUCUGCAAAUUGCAGGUUUACUGCAUUGCGUACCGGUACUACCCAGGGGCGUACCGGUUCCCCAUCGUAAUCCGCGAAUUGCUGCUCUCGGGUUGCGAAGGCUGAUGCAGGGUACCGGUACGGCAUUGGCCUGGUACCGGUACUUCAGGGUAGGUAAGGGGCUGUUUGGUCUUUUGCUACCUCGUUGUUAUCACCCUUAUCCCCUACCUCUUCUUAUACGUGUAGAGAGGUAGAGAAGGGAUUUUUUUCUGCUGUGCUCUCUCUCUCUCUAGUCCUUGACCGUGAGCAAGGUGGAGACCUCGGAUGGAAUUCGGAUCGACGUCGACGUUGCGCCGAGAAGCCGUCCGAGCGUGCGUACGUCGUUGUAGUACCGAUUGGAGACCGGGCGAGCGCGUGGUUCCUCUUCUUCUAACUUCUCGCCGUCGUGGAUUAGUAUUUCGAUGUGGGUUAAUGUUUACCGAAAUCGAUGGAUUUCCUCCUAAGCCGGAGUUGACAGCAUGUGUAUUUAGCUUCAUAUACCAUGUUAGUAGCUCAAUUCGUAGAUUUGCAUUGUUCUUAAAUGAAAUCUGAAUUGGAGCUUUAUAUGCUAGUUUUAUUAUACAUAUUGAACUUGGAUUUGACUUAGGAGAAAACUGUCGGUUCUACACUGUCAUUUUCUGAAACUACCAGAUUUAGCUUUAGGAGCUGUAGUUUGUUUGUAUUGCCGCAGUUUGUAGGCAGUGGAUAUCCAGAAUAGUGUAGAAUGAAUUUACGCUCGUGCUGGGAUACCGAGUUUAUUUUUAUAGUAGUGUUUAGACCGUUCCGGAUUGUUGGGUGCCGUUGUGGUUGACGGUGGACCUAGAUUGCUGUUUUUGCAUCAGAUUGUGCCGAGGGUAUGUUUAUUAUGGUUGUUAGACCAGUUAGACCCUUCUGCUUUAAUUAUAGCCUGUGAGAACCUGAUUGAGCUCGUCAGAGACAUGCUUGCAUACUCGGUUGGGUAGCGCCCACGAGUGCCACUCCGGAGUCAGGCCUAGUGCUUUUGCGUUGAUGUCGUUGCGUCCUGGUUGGACUUGUUCUCCACUGACGACCGAGCGUGGUGGUAGUUAGUGUAGUUUCGACAGGCGGGACGGGUGUGUUCACGGUCCCUAGUGAGAUUGGGUCAGAGAUUGCAUCUUCUACAGAUAGUUAGUGUUGAAUCGUAAUAGUAUAGUGGCAUAUAGCUGUAGAUUUGUUCCAGCUUCCUGUACUAUUUUGAGUAUACUUCUAUAGACUUAGUGGGUGAGCCGUUGAGGUCAGUAGCGGUAUCCACUGAUGACUACUUCUUUUUCCAGUAGUUCUCACACCCAGUUGUUGAAUCCUUUUUGCAGAGCCUUUUUCUUCCGCUGCUGCUGUUGCGGAUACAGAUCGUGGAAAGGAAAUUGCGAGUUAGAUCCCUUCUCGUUUUGCUGCUGAUCUAGAGAUUUACCAGCUACAGGUAGUGUUAGUUUUUGGUUCUUAUACACAUUGAUGUUAGAUCCUCGCUGGAGCGAGUGUUGUGUAUCUGGAGACUAUGUAUGUAUAAAGAAUCUGAUGUUAUAUAUAUAUAUAUAUAUAUGUUUUUCAGUUUAGCAGCUCUAUACUACUAGUUGUAUUUUUGUAUGAUUAUAAGUACAGGUACAACUAUCGCUUCAUAUACAGGAGAAAUUCCUUUGUAUACGGCAGAUUUGUCAACGUGCCCGAGGAAACGAUUAAUCCGGGGCGUGACAGAUUAAGUUGGUAUCAGAGUUUAGCAUUAGGUUGUUGGGACCUAGGAAUCCUAAAUUUGGCAAACCUUAGGAAGGCAAGACGCGAGAGGCGUGAUUUAUCGCGAAAGUCAGCGAUUGAACUGUUUUAACUUCUCCUAGAGUGGAGUGAGUAAUCGAAGGAGUGUCUGUUUCGGCCAAGAAAAAUUAUGUCGGCUGCAGAAGGCAUAAUUUUGAGGAGAAAUAGGGUCCGCCUUCUAGACUUUCGCUUCAUUGGGUCGAGAGUGAUUGUGUUUUGUAUCUGAUCCUUAUUUUGUUUUCUUACAGCUAUGUAUCGAUGCCGAGGCCGACCGCCAACCCGGGAUCGUGCCGCACCCCCUGAGAUGCCGAAGCAGGCAGGGCUGAGUGCAUCCUUGGAUCUGAGAGAGCAGUUAGCUGCCCGGACGGAGACGACGAGACAGCGGGGACAUUGUUAUAGAUGAUGUGUGAGACAUUAGCUCUGCAGCAGAGAACAACACCGAGAGUACCAGAGCAGUCAGCUCCACCCCCGACUACUCCUGAGGCCGCACCAGCCGUAGCUGUACCCCCACUAGCGAUAGUUCCUACAGCGCGAGUUACAUUCUUUGGAGAGGUGUCGCAGAUGUCAGAGGCCGAGCAGGAGCAGAUGACUGAAAGGUUUGCUCGUUUUCACCAUUUUGAUCCGCCAACCUUUGACGGUAGCUACACGGAGCCCUGAGUUGUAGAGGGCUGGGUGAGCGCGAUGGAGAAGCUAUUUGUGGAUCUAUUUAUACUAGAGAGGGAUCAUGUACACUUGGGAGUGCACUGCUUGGCUGGGGAUGCGCAUUCUUGGUGGAGGAGGCUGAGGCGUGACCGAGGGUUGGUAGCAUUGCAGAUAAGGUGGGAUGAGCUCUACGGAAUGCUGUACGGGGCGUAUUUCCUAAACAGCGUGAAGCAGAAACUUGAAGAGGAUCUGAAGAAGCUGCAACAGGGGGAACGAUCAGUUCAGGAGUACACCCGCGAGUUUACUCGGCUCCUGAACUAUGUUUCAUUUGUAGCGAGAGACGAGGCCUACCGAAUAUAUCUGUUUGAGCGAGGCUUGAGGCCAGAGAUCUUCAGGUUGGUAUAGGCGCGGAGGUUGAGGACCUUGGAUGCGUCUAUUGAGCAGGCUCUAUGGGUGGAGAGAGGUGAUGUAUCGAUCCGCGAGCGGGCGCAGGUACAGGUGCCGGGGCAGAGUGAGGAUAGGAAGCGCCCGGUUCCAGAUGACGGAGGACAGUUGAGCAGCAGGCUUCCGCCGAGGCCUCCACGAUCACGCUCCCAGGGUCGUGGGUCUUCGGGGCGUUAGCGUUCUCGGGGACCUCGUUAGCAGAGGCAGUCACAGGGGACGCCACAGUGUGUGAUUUGUGGGGGACCGCACUGGCCUCGACAGUGUAAGUAGAGAGAGGGCCGAUGCUAUGGAUGUGAACAGCCAGGGCAUAUGAGGGCAGCUUAUCCCCGAGCAGCAUCUACAGCACCAUCGACGGCGUCAGCACAGCUGGCACCUCAGCAGUCUUACAGAGCAGCACCGAGUUACCGCCAGGAGGAUAGAGCGUCUGUGCCGCUGCAGGGUGAGCGGUUACUGCAGGCCCCGAGUGGCAGGAUUUAUGCAGCCCAGGUGGAGGACUCUACGGCAGCCGACAAGGUGGUGGCAGGUAUUAUUUUGAUUUCUGGUAUUCGAGCUCGUACCUUAUUUGAUACUGAUGCAUUGCAUUCUUUUGUUAGCCGAGCAUUUGCAUUGUUGCAUGGUCUAGAGGUAGGGCCGUUGUUGCAUGCACGAGAGGUGCAGAUUCCCGACCAUACUUUGCAGGUGGUAAAGUAAUGUUGGUCAUGUCCGGUGCAGUUGGGCUCGUGGAUUAUGCCUGUAGACCUGUUGGUCUUAGGGCAGCUGCAGGACUUUGAUGUUGUGCUUGGCAUAGAUUGGUUGGCGCGGUACUAUGCUACGAUCGACUGUGGAGUGAGGAUUGUGACGUUCCGCAAGGCAGGCCAGGAGGAGUUCACGUACAGAGGUUGCAGGAGUACGUUGUUUGCUACUUAGAUUUCGUCGGCGAGGGCUCGACAGCUGAUGAGUAGGUUGUAUCGCUUUUCUGGCGACUGUUGUGGAGGUGCCUACGGCUGCGCAGGGACUCGAGGAUAUUCCUAUAGUCCGCAAGUUUUCGGAUGUUUUUCCCCCAGAGUUGACGACUAUGCCGCCGGAUAGAGAGAUCGAGUUUGUGAUUGAUAUAGUUUAUGGAACUGCACCAAUCUCGAAGGCACUCUACCGGAUGACACUGACAGAGCUGAGAGAACUAAAGGCGCAGCUUCAGGAUCUGAUGGAUAAGGGGUAUGUGAGACCCAGUGUAUCGCUUUGGGGAGCGCCGGUGUUAUUUGUAAAGAAGAAGGAUGGUUCAUUCAGAUUGUGUGUGGAUUAUCGAGAGCUGAAUAAAGUGACCAUUAAGAAUAAGUUUUCUUUACCGUGCAUCGAUGAUCUGUUUGAUCAGCUGCAAGGAUCUUGUGUCUUUUCGAAUAUUGAUCUUUAGUUAGGUUACCACCAGUUGAGGGUGAGGGCCGAGGAUGUUCCCAAGACGGCUUUUCGGACUCGGUACGAGCAUUAUGAGUUCACUGUGAUGUAUUUUGGAUUGACGAAUGCUCCUGCCGCAUUUAUGGAUAUGAUGAAUAGAGUAUUCAAGCCAUUAUUGGAUAGAUUUGGAGUGAUUUUCAUUGAUGAUAUCUUGAUAUACUCCCGUAGUGAUGCCCAGCAUGAGGAGCAUUUGAGGAUUGUGCUACAACUUCUGAGAGAGAAGAAGUUGUAUGCUAAACUGAAGAAGUGUGAGUUCUGGCUUCAGAAAGUUUCUUUCUUGGGCCAUGUGAUUUCUACAGUUGGCGUAGCAGUGGACCCGAAGAAGAUUAAUGCUAUUCGGGAUUGGCCCAGACCGACGACGGUUACCGAGGUGAGGAGUUUCCUUGGAUUGGCAGGAUAUUACCGUCGGUUUGUGGAAGGCUUUGCGAAGCUUUCCACUCCCCUCACUCGAUUGACUUGAAAGGGAAUUAUGUUCAUCUGGAGUGGGGAUUGUCAGAGGAGCUUCGAUGAGUUGAGACAGAGGUUGAUGUCGACUCCUAUCCUUGCCCUUCCGGUGAUGGGGGAAGGAUUUGUGAUUUACAGUGAUGCCUCGCAAAGUGGUUUGGGUUGUGUGCUGAUGCAGUAUAGUAGGGUAAUUGCUUAUGCUUUCCGGCAAUUGAAGGAUUACGAGAAGAAUUACCCUGCGCAUGAUUUGGAGCUUGCCGCAGUGGUCUUUGCUUUGAAGUUGUGGCGAUAUUACUUUUAUGGCGAACACUGCGAGAUUUUCACGGAUCAUAAAAGUCUCAAGUAUCUGUUUAUCCAAAAGGAGUUGAACCUGAAGCAACGCCGGUGGUUGGAGUUGUUGAAGGACUAUGAUAUUAGUAUUCAGUAUCACCCCGGCAAGGCAAAUGUGGUGGCAGAUGCGUUGAGCAGGAAGGCAGUGCAGAGCUUGAGCAUGUUGAUUACUCAGCAGAGGCCGUUACUUGAGGAGCUGUAGCGGUUGAGGCUCAAGAUAGUGUCCCCUGGGUCUACUGCAAGACUGAUGUCUAUGGUCUUGCAGCCCACUCUGUUGGAUAGGAUCAGGGAGAAACAGAGUGGAGACCCUCAUUUGGUGAGGAUUCGAGAGCAGUUAGAGAGGGGACAGGCAGAGGCUUUUUUUUAUGGACAGUUCGGGAGUACUGCGGUACAGGGACCGACUGUGUGUGCCUAUGAAUUCAGAGAUCCGAGAGGAGAUUUUGAGAGUCCAUUACUCACCUUAUAUGGUUCACCCCGGUGGAAUUAAGAUGUAUAAGGACUUGAAGACACACUUUUAGUAGAAUGGAAUGAAGAGAAAAUUGGCAGAUAUGUAGCUCAAUGUCUGACUUGCCAACAGGUAAAGGCAGAGCAUUAGGUACCUGCUGGCAAGUUUCAGAGUCUGCUAGUGCCCGAAUGGAAAUGGGAACAGAUCAUGAUGGACUUUGUCGUGGGGUUACCGAGAGCACAGGGUGGUUUCGAUGCUAUUUCGGUGAUAGUGGACAGACUGACUAAGUCUGCUCACUUCUUACCAGUACGGACCACCUGGUCUAGGGAGAGGCUCGCUCAAUUAUAUUUGGAUGAGAUUGUGAGAUUGCAUGGUGUGCCGAUUUCGAUAGUAUCAGACCGAGACCCGAGAUUUGUUUUGCAUUUUUGGAGGAGUCUUCAGACAGCCUUGGGUACACAGUUAUAUUUCAGCACAGCAUUUCACCCACAGACGGAUGGUCAGUCAGAGAGAACCAUUCAGACUCUGGAGGACAUGCUGAGAGCAUGUGUCCUGGACUUUGGAGGAGGGUGACAUCGACAUUUGAGACUGGCUGAGUUUGCGUACAACAACAGCUAUCAAACAAGCAUUCAGAUGGCUUCGUUUGAAGCGUUGUAUGGAUGCAGGUGUCGAUCCCCUUUGCAUUGGAGUGAUGUGGGUGAAAGGAAGACCAUGGGGCCUGAGAUUCUAAUAGAGGUUGAGGAAAAGGUUAAAGCUGUACGACGACAUCUUUUGACAGCACAGAGUCGGCAGAGGAGUUACGCCGAUACCGGGAGACGAGACUUAGAGUUCUAGGUUGGAAAUCAUGUGUUUUUGAAAGUCUCAUCGUCUAGAUGGAUACGCAGAUUCGGAGUGCGUGGAAAGCUCAGUCCACGUUUUGUAGGCCCUUUUGAGAUGUUGGAGCGAGUUGGACCAGUUUGUUGCAGGAUUGCUCUACCCCCACGACUGGCCGAUAUUCAUAAUGUUUUCCAUGUCUGGGCAUUGAGGAGAUACGUAUUCGACCCCUCAUACGUGAUCGACUUCACUCCGCUAGAGCUUGGCGAGGAUUUGAGAUAUGAGGUACGACCGGUGCGAAUUUUGGUUCGUGAGACGAAAGAAUUACGCAGACGGGUCAUUCCUUAUGUAAAAAUACAGUGGAGUCAUCACGAAGAGCGUGAGGCGACGUAGGAGCCGGAGAUGGUGAUGCAGGAAUCCUACCCUUACUUAUUCAAUGCUUAGGAUUAGGUAUGCGUUAAGUUUCAAGGACGAAACUUUUUGUAGUAGGGGAGGAUGUACUGUCACGCUCCGAGACCGCUACCAAUUUGGUCCGGUUCGGGCACGUCGAAUAGACGCUGAACGGACAGUACCUCCCCUGUCCGCCCAAGGCUCACAACAAGAAUGUGUACAAGAAUACGUGUUGUAGUUGCUUUAUUACUUAUGCAGUUCAUGCUAAGUAGAGAUAUCAUGAUAGAAUAGUACUCAUGGUUAUAUACUUGUUCAUUAUUUCGCUUUCGUUUAUACUUGUACUGACCCUCUUUUGUAGCUUUUGGGCCUAGUGGCGCAUUUCACUGAAGUCAGUAAUUGCCCACUGGGAACUAUUAUUUAAUAGUUCUCACGCCCUCUGUUUUAUGGUUUUAUUUCAGAGCCUUCGGCACCGGCGGAGGCACGGGAUCGCGGCAAGGGAGUCGCGCAGCUAGUUAGCGGGAAACUACUUUUGAGCUUAGGUGGUUUACUCUUUCUUUUAUUGUAUUAGGGAGAGAGAGAGAUUUUGAGUACCAUGUAUAGAGAGACCACCUAUGUACUUGUUUAGCUUUUGUAUUGGGAUUCCUAUUGUUUUCACUUUAUGUUUUUACUUAGUGGAUUUACUUUUACAUUCCUUACCCUUAUUGUAGCUUCUAGAUAUAACUUGCUCUGAUGCUUCUAGAUGUUCUUUUUAUUGCUUUAUUUAUCGUUUUGCUUAGACGCCUUAUAUGUUUUAGACAUAUGGCGGGUCUGGGUACGCGCCGGGUGGGCUUUCGCUGGGUCCCGGGGCAUGACACCGGUCCCUCUGCCCGAAAAUUGCCCAGUCCUGGCAGUGCACAGGUUGCUUAGUUGAGGGGCUUUUCUGGAUAUUGUUACUUGAGCGGGGUUAUUUGGCCUUUUCACUCCCUCUCUUCCUCAUUUCUCUCCAUCACACUCUCUCUUACACUCUAGAAAGAGAAGAAGAAGGAAAAGGAAGGAGGAGAAGAAGGAGGAGAGGAAGGAGAGCAAGCCAAGAGGACCUUGGACAUCUUCCUUUCCCUCUUUUCUCACCAUUGGAGGCUUGGAGUUUGUUGUUGGAGCUUUGUGGGGAAAGGACCUUCAACCCUAGAGCACUUUGAGCUUGGUUUGGAGCUUCUCUUGAGGUUGGUAGCAUGUAUUCCUCAUUUGAUGCAUGUUUUUCUAGAUUUUGUUAGAUGAAACCCUAGAAAUGAGAUUUAGGGUUUAUUUUUGGGGCUUUUUAAUUAUAAGCUUUUGGAGCUCUAUUGAUUGAUUUAGAACCUUGGUAUAGGUUGUUUUGGAAGGGAUUUGGCUUCCAUUUGAAAUUUUUUAGAGGAUUUCUACGCUAUAGGUGAGUUUUCUCCACCUUAGCUAGAGUUGGUUAAUGUUUGAGCUUUGGGAUGUUCGUAAGGUUCGUUUAACUCUUGUUCCUACAUCUUUAGGGUGUUAGGAGACUAGUGGGCACCUUUGUCGGAGCAAACGAAGGAUCGCAAGAGUUGUGGUGGGCUUGGCUUCAUGAAAUCAGGGCAAAACGGCCCCUAUGUGUAUUAUACUUGUCGUAACGUCAAUUUGAUUGCAUAUUCAUGCUAAAUGGAAUUUAUGUAAAUUUUAGAACACUUAAAAUGCAUGUGUUAUGUAUAAUAGAAAUUUCACUCUAUAUAGUGGAGCUAUAUGUGUAGGCUGCAUGCAUGUGGAAGUGUUUAUCUUUGCGAGUUGAUUACAUGUCUCGUGCGAGGAAAAUGAUCAGAAUUAUGUAUUCAUGAAUAUAAUUAUCAUGUUUUGACUUAGUGAACAAAAGUGUCAUGAAGGGGCACAUGAACCAGCAAACUGGAAAACUGCAAUAUAGAGAUAUAGUGAUAGGCUAUUGACAUCUACUAGGCCCUUGAGACAUUUGAUACGUUCCAUGUUUUAGACAUGAUGACUUGAGACUUCAGACCUGAGACUUGAGACGGAUCUUACGCUUGCUUGCCAUUGUGCUCAUUCACACAUGCUUGUGAAGGCUGCUCCCUACAAGCCGGCACUCCGGAGAUGGCCAUCGCGAUACAUAUUCACCGUGCGGGAUUGGGCGCCGAAGUGGAUUGCCGUGGGCAAGGCUCAUUUUUAGAGUGGGGCUGUUGACUACCACGGGACCAUUAGGCUCGGCACCGGCCAGACAGCCUACGGGUGGGUCUACAGGUCAGACAGCCUUCGGGCGGGUCUUCCAAGAUUUAACUUUAAAUAGUUAACAUGAUAAGUGAACAUUGACUAGAAUAGUAAACAAUGACAUUUUACUACUACAUUGUGGAUAUUAUGGUGAUUGUAUACUCGUGCAUUUUCAUGAUAAAAUAGCUUUCUUACUUAUGCAAUUCCGUGCUAAGUAGAGACCUCAUGUGGUAGCAAGUACUCAUGUUUAUUUACUUGUCGUAUAUAUCGCUUUUGUUUAUACUCGUACUUACCCUUUUUGUAGCUUUUGGGCCUAGUGGAGCUUUUCACUGAAGUCAGUAAUUGCCCAUUGGGAACUAUUAAUUAAUAGUUCUCACGCCCUCUAUUUUAUGGUUUUAUUUCAGAGCCUUCGGCACCGGCGGAGGCAUGGGAUCGCAGCAAGGGUGUUGCCUAGCUAGAUAGCGGGGAGCUGCUUGCUCUUAGGUAGUUACUCUUUUUUUGUGUUUUGGAGAGAGAGAUUUUUGUAUCAUGUAUAGAGACCACCUAUGUACUCUUUUAGCGCUUGUUUUGGGAUAUCUAUUGUAUUACUUAUGACUUUUAUUUAGUGGUUUUGGCUUCUUUCACCUAUUCUUGCUGUAGAAAUCUAGAUGUACUUCGCUCUGAUACUCCUAGAUGUUCUUCUCUCAUUACUUUAUUUAUCGCUUUGUUGUAGACGCCUUGUAUAUUUUAGACAUUUGGCGGGUCUGGACACGCGCCUGGCGGGCUUUCGCUGGGCCCCGGGGCGUGGCAGGUUGGCAAUUCACCUCAAGUGUACUGGUACAACCAUCAAGGUGUACCGGUACAAAUCCUGUACCGGUACAACCAUCAAGGCUGUACCGGUACACAGCCUGACUGAGGCUAACCCGAGAGCAGGACCAACAAUCCACCCUUUUGGAUUUUGGUACUAAGUUUCAAACCUCAAUUCUCGGGAUAUGAGCCAUAGGUCGGAACACUGUCAACGACCCUCCAGAAUAUCUGGAAAAACUCAUAACACUCAUCAAACACUCGAACCUCGUAAUUUGCAAAGGUCCAGUGUGUUACAUUCUCUUCCCUCCAUUGGGGUGUGUGUGUGUGGUGGGCUGAGGAAGAAGAAGAAAGGGGAGAAAACCCUUUUUAAAGUCAAACCCCCACCACAAUAUUACAAGAAUGCCACUCUACGCUGGGCACUUUUCGGGCAUGGGGUCUGGACUUUGGCCCUAGGGUCUGGACCCCGUAGGUCCAGAAAAACUGCAAAUUUCAGCCUUUUUCAAUUUCGCUCCGUUUUGCUUCGUUUUCGCUCCCAGGGUCCCCGAUGCAUUUCUAAUCAUUCCGAGAACCCCGAAACACAUUUUCGAGCGCGUUUAGAUCAACGUUUCAUCCACGCUUCGCCGGAUUAGGCCAAAGUUAAACAUAGCUACUCGAGUUCCGUUUCUGCGUCCAACUCGCACCGAAAACAAUCGGAUGCACCCGAACUUCACCGAAACUACUCCAAGAAAAGCUUUCCAAACUAAUAUACACCGUAACUUCAUAACUAUAGAAGUUCGGUAUGUUAUAGUGCUUUUAACAUUCUAACCACCCAUCAAAAUUGAUGGAUGGUUUGGAAGUUAGGAGCAUGAUGGCUGUUGUACUCUUAAUAGCACAGUAGCCCUACUCUCUCUCUCUAUAUAUAUAUAAAAAGAGAGGGAGAGAGAGAAAGAGAGAGAGUUGAGCUGGAAUACUAUCGGUAGCAAAUGGGCUCUGUUGCCACCCAUUUGUUUUCAAUAAUGGAGCCCCCAAAUCGAUGAUCAGUACAAUUGAACAUGAUUUAUAUCAUUUGAUGCAUGUAGAAACCAAAUUUCAUGCUUUUCUGAUAUUGUUCUCUUGUCCAUCAAGUAGGCAUAAAAAUGAAUGACUGAAAAUGCAUAUCCUUUAAAAACUGAUGAUAGGAGUUUGGCAAUCAAGAUCAAGAGUAUAGAUCUUAUUUCAAAUAGUUCAAAGAAUUUUCUAAUAAAAAUCCAAUUGAUUUGGAUAUCUUUAUACUGUUAAACGAGAAAAUAUCUCAUAUCGGCUAUUAAAAGUACAGAUUUUAAAACCCUUUAAUUAUUAGGGCAAUGAUGUUGAAAAAUUUUGAAACUUGAUUUCUACAUACUUCAAGUGGUAUAGAUCAUGUUCAAUGGUGCCGAUCGUUGAUUUGGAGGCUCCAUUAUCGAAAACAAUUAGGUGGCAACGGAGCCCGUUUGCUAUCAAUAGCAUUCCAGCUCAUCUCUCUCUCUCUCUCUCUCUCUCUCUCUCUCUCUAUAUAUAUAUAUAUAUAUAUAAAAAGAGAGAGAGAGAGAGAGAGAGAGAGAGCGAGAGUUGAGCUAGAAUACUCUCAAAAGCACCAUGAAGGUGGUGCUUUUGAGUUUUUAGCCAUUGGAUGGAGAGAUGUGAGGUUGAGAUGAUGGUGGUAAAUGGUGGUAGGUGGUGGUAGGUGGAAUAGUGUUUGAUCCAAGGGCUAUUAGUAAUCAAGAGUUAGUCUUACAAAAGUCUUAUUUCGAACAUAGUCAUUUUUAAAACGUAAGAUCUGAAUAUCAAUUGGUUAGGUUCUGUACUUCUUUAAUUAUUAGAACUAGCUAGUGUCUAACUCAAUUUAUAAUAUACAGGGAUAAUGACUUUGAGAUCCUCGCCAGGUAGUGGAGGAGGGUGGACACUAUCACUUUAGUCUGCACUACACUUCAGAUUAGCCGUAUUUUUUUCUUCGAUUGCCUAUUGGGGGAAAUUUUUACUUAUCGAUAUUUUGAGUCCCAUCGUGUUUAGGGAGUCCUCCUGAUUUAGACCUUGAACGAAGUCUGGUUGCUCGUUAACUCUCGUUCCUAACUCAUUGAAGGGUUUUCUUCAAGAAGAACUCUCUCUCUGCGCACUUUUUUGAUUCUCAUGUUACCUAGUUGCCAUUUCCGAAAGCGCUUUGAUUCGAAAAUGACCAUUACAACUUGUUUAUUUUACUGCAGAUUUUCGAAACUAUUUACUGACUCGAUUAUCAAAUUUAUACACAUAGGAUUGUGUUCGAAAAUGAUAGAAGUCCAUUCAAAUCAGUAUGAAAUUUUGAUACAAAAUUAUUCAGCCUCACUCUCAUCUACAACAGAUGCUUAAGUAUUUUAUUCCGAUGAUCAGCAGUUCAAUUUUGCUGCUAUUCACAUUUGUUUAAUGGAUAUUUUUAAUUUUUCAGCCCGUUUAAAAUAAUUGAUUUUGAGUUCAUUUCGAUUGCUAGGUAAAUGAUAUCGCAAAAAAUCGUAAAAUUUAUUUUCAUAGAAACUCAAUACGCUAGAUCAAGUUUAACGAGCCGAUCGUCCAUUCAGAAGCUCCAGAUCAUCGAAAAUGGCCCUCACGGAGCCGUGCUCCUGACGAAGCACUAGCAGCGCCUGUAUAUAUAUAUAUAUAUAUAUAUAUAUAUUAUUAUAAUCUUAUUUAAUCUAUUAUCAUAUAUAUAGUGAUAUCAAAUUAGGUGGUAAUCUAUUAAAUAGUUAAAACAUUCUUUUGCCUAUCAGAUUUUUACGAUUUUAAAAACCCUUGACUGUUCAAAAAUCUCUGGCGUAGCAAAAUUAACAGGGGUUAUUAAGCAUGAUAUAAUAGAUCACUUUCGGUCUUGAGAAAUCUCGAAAGAGUAUUUAAGCUUAUAUUGGAAGUGUUCACUUAUCGCCUCGUCUUCGACGUGGUCUCCACUGGGUGAACAUAUAGCUUAUUUAAUCCAUCUUGAGAGUCUUAGGAAAUAAAUGUAAAGAAGUUUGUUUGAUGUUCCAAGGCUAAAAGAACUUACGGUAUCACAAUGUCGAUUAUUGCUACCACACUAGAUUAUCAGCAAAAUGACGUGCACGGCUAACAUAAUAAUAUAGUAGGAUUUAAUACAUAAAAAAGUUUUCAUAUGUAAUUUUAUAACCACAAAAAAUUUUCUAAUUAAUCUUUAUUAAUUAUUAAAACAAAAUAAAAAAAAGCCCAUAAUAGGUGGUACAAAUUUCAUUAUAACUUUUCAGAAAACAGGAUGGAAAAUAAAAUGGGAAAGUCCGGCAAAUAAAAAUAUGGACAAUUAAUCUAUUAGGGGUGAUAUUAAAGUACACAAGCUAAGGGAGAAAAAUAAAUUUUGGACUAGAAAGUAAAUAUGUCAAUUAAUGCAAACUUUCAUGAUGCUCUGAUUAAUCUAAACAUAGGAAUUCGUAGGCAAAAUAAUUUACAUUUUACAUUAUUGAUGGUGCGAAAUAGUAGUAUAACUAAAUAUUGAUAUGAAAAAUUUAGCAAAUGACUAUUAAUUAUUAUAAGCGAUAUUUAAUGAGGUACAACUAAAUUUCAUAUUUUGAACAAAUUAGAAUAAGCAGGGCAUAUAUUAUGUUUUACGCUACUAUCGUUUUAAUUCAAAAAUUAUUAUGGAUGAUUGUUUUCAAGAAAUAUAAAGAAAAAAAAUUUGUUGCCGAUGAGAGUAGAAGGAGAGUUACAAUGGAUGUAAGUGACGUCAGACAGGCAUCAGGGGAAAAAAAAUAAUAGAUAUGAAAUAUAGAAAUAUAAUUCUUACCAAGAAAUUACAUUAGGGGCUUUAUGCAAAAACACAAUGAAUAGGAUUUAAAUAAUAUGUUUUACUAUUUUUAAUUUAGUUAUUUAAUAAUCUUGUCAAAAACAGCAAAUCUAAUUGACAGAACGUGUUUCUUCAUUAAUACGAUAAUUUUAUUUUUUAAAUAAUUAAUUAAUUGCCAUACGGAACUUCUGAGUCUUUUGCGACAUUUUUUUUAUCUGGAUAUUGUUAUAAUACGAUUUCAAUAAUUCGACAACAGGGAUUCUUCGAAUGAAUAUGUCGCAAACACUAAUUUUAAAUAAUUAGAUUACUCUACCAACGUGCGAUUUUGAGUUGUCAUGUUAUCUGACCAUAUACGCAAUUUCUGGUUUAGUUUCGAUGUUUAUAUAUAUCCUGAUACUUACUCAGACAUUUGUAGUCUUGAACGUUAGAUUAUUGGUCGGAACCAAUAGAGUAUUUAACAUAUUAUUUAAAUUAAUUUUCAUCCUUAUUAUUUUUAACAUAUUAUACUGCCACAUAUGUAUUUGAGUUUAGACCUUUUUUUUUCGCAACUAACAUUUCAAAUAAUUCGCAACAGAUUAUUGCUUAUUAUCGCAACAAUAAUUUUAAAUAAUUAAUUAUCUGCCAAUACGAAAUUUGAGUUUGCAACAGAUUAUUUCCACCGCGAAAAAAUAAUUCGCCAAUAAUUUUAAAUAAUUAAUUAAACCAAUAAUUUCAAAUAAUUCGUAACCAAAUAUCUAUAUUUGAGUUUGACACGUGGCAAGCAUAUAGAAAGUCACGUGUCAGCUUCUCACAUAGGGUUCAUUAAGGGUUCUACUUUUAUAUAUAGUAAUAGAUAAUAGAUAGUAGCCCAGUCCAACUCUCUCUCUCUCUCUCUCUCUCUCUCUCUCUCUCUCUCUCUCUCUCUAUAUAUAUAUAUAUAUAUAUAUAUAUAUAUAUAUAAUUAGGCUACUAUUAUCUAUAGUACCGGAGCUUCGAUACUAUAGUUUUGUUUUCGAUCUUAGGGUGUCCAAAUUAACGAUCCACACCGUUAAAUAUGAUCUAUGGUAUAUGAAGUUUUUAGGAAUAAAAUUUUAGUUUUUUUUGACAUUGUUAACUUAGUAAAUAAAUUAUGUCAAAAUGGACGGUGGAAAUUGAAUAAUCUUUAAAAUUUGAGUAUAGGGCUUUUAAAUUCAAGAUCAAAAAUGUUAAACUUAAUCUAGAUAUUUUAAAGUAUUUUCUAUCAAAAUUUGAAGAAAUUUAGAUUCUUCUACACCGUUAAACUUCAAACUCGCUAUAGUAGCCAUUGAAAAUUGACAAUUUUGAAAUGGUUUGAUCAUAAAGUAAAUUAUGUCAAAAAAAAUAUAAAAUCCUAGAUUUGUUUUAACGGUGUGGAUCGUUGAUUUGAACACCCUAAAAUCGAAAACGGGACUAUAGUACCGGAGCUCCGGUACUAUAGAUAAUAUAGGAGACUAGCUCUAUAUAUAUAUAUAUAUAUAUAUAUAUAUAUAUAUAUAUAUAUAUAUAUAUAUAUAUAGAGUCCCGCUAUGGUGCUUGUAAAAGUANNNNNNNNNNNNNNNNNNNNNNNNNNNNNNNNNNNNNNNNNNNNNNNNNNNNNNNNNNNNNNNNNNNNNNNNNNNNNNNNNNNNNNNNNNNNNNNNNNNNNNNNNNNNNNNNNNNNNNNNNNNNNNNNNNNNNNNNNNNNNNNNNNNNNNNNNNNNNNNNNNNNNNNNNNNNNNNNNNNNNNNNNNNNNNNNNNNNNNNNNNNNNNNNNNNNNNNNNNNNNNNNNNNNNNNNNNNNNNNNNNNNNNNNNNNNNNNNNNNNNNNNNNNNNNNNNNNNNNNNNNNNNNNNNNNNNNNNNNNNNNNNNNNNNNNNNNNNNNNNNNNNNNNNNNNNNNNNNNNNNNNNNNNNNNNNNNNNNNNNNNNNNNNNNNNNNNNNNNNNNNNNNNNNNNNNNNNNNNNNNNNNNNNNNNNNNNNNNNNNNNNNNNNNNNNNNNNNNNNNNNNNNNNNNNNNNNNNNNNNNNNNNNNNNNNNNNNNNNNNNNNNNNNNNNNNNNNNNNNNNNNNNNNNNNNNNNNNNNNNNNNNNNNNNNNNNNNNNNNNNNNNNNNNNNNNNNNNNNNNNNNNNNNNNNNNNNNNNNNNNNNNNNNNNNNNNNNNNNNNNNNNNNNNNNNNNNNNNNNNNNNNNNNNNNNNNNNNNNNNNNNNNNNNNNNNNNNNNNNNNNNNNNNNNNNNNNNNNNNNNNNNNNNNNNNNNNNNNNNNNNNNNNNNNNNNNNNNNNNNNNNNNNNNNNNNNNNNNNNNNNNNNNNNNNNNNNNNNNNNNNNNNNNNNNNNNNNNNNNNNNNNNNNNNNNNNNNNNNNNNNNNNNNNNNNNNNNNNNNAAAUUAAAUUUCAUAAUUUUUCGACAUCAUUUACCUUACGAUCAAAAGCUCACAAAAUUGAUAAUUUUUAACGGCCGGUAUGGAAUACUUGCUAGUUUAAUGGUGCAAAAGAAUCGGAAUAGGUUGAAUUUUUGAUAAAAAAUUCUAUUCACUACCUAGAUAAAGAUCAAUAAUUCCGAUCUUAAAUUGAAGGAUCUGAUCAUCCAAUUUUUAAGACAUCGUUCGAUUUUGACCGUUCAUUUUAUGCCCGCUUGAUGGACUUUAUUAUGAUUUCAAAAAAUUACGAAAUUUAUUUUUUAGAAGUUUCAAAUACUCUAGAUCAUAUUUAAUGGAGUGGAUCGUCGAUUCGGAAGCUCCAUCAUUGAAAACAACUUAUGAGUACGAAGGACCCAAUACUCAUAAUAGUAUAGUAGCCCUACUAUAUACAUAUAUAUAUAGGCAUUCUUUCGAAACUCUAAUUCUCAAAUUAUACCCUAUUCUAAAAAAGACUUUACAAAAAGGCCCCGGGUAAAAUCAUGACAAAAAAAGAGAAAGGAAUGGUGAAACGGGAGAAGGCGAAGAGAGAGAAAAAAAACAAAUGAGAGAGAGGAGGGAGAAAGGGGAUAAAAAUAAUUUGGUCAGUUUAUUAAAAAUUCAGAUCUGAUCUAUAAAAUCUGAAAAACUAUCUUAUUUUUGCAAAAACAUAAAACCAAUGAACUUUUUAGGCAAAUUGGCCAUUUAUUAUUGUACAGAAUAGUCCAGAGGUUUGCCCUUUCGAACCCUAUAGGCUAUAGCUUAGUUUUGGCGUUAGCCAGUUCCCGAUCAACUUUAUAGUCUCUGGCCACCCUUAUCCCAUCGUCCAAAAAUAGAGGGUAAGAGGGUAAGGGUGGCACAGAGACAAAGAGUUGAUGUUUUUGAGACUGAGUUGUUGAGGGCUUGAGUGCUCUAGGCUGAACAGAGGAUAAGACAAGUGACAGAUGGCAAAAUAUUUUUUGCUGGGGAAAAAAAAUCUUUGAAGUUUAGACAGAAUUUGACAUAUUUCUUUUCUUAUCAAAAAUAGCAAAAUAUUAGGUAUAAAUUCAACUCAAGAACUUCCAAUUUCAACUAGUCAAAUCCAAAAUGGACUAUCUAUAUAAAUAUAUGAAUCCAGAGUUAGGAUCCAGGUGGUGGGAAGGGGAAGCGGGAGGGGCUAGGGUUGGGGUUGGGGGUGGGUGUGGGGGCCCACUUGAGGGGGGUGGGCAUAGUUCUUUUUUUUAUUUUUUACUUUAAUUUUUCUCUCUCCUCUGAUUUGGACCGUAAAAUUAGGCUUAUUUUUUUUUAAUCUAAUCUAUUUUUGCUCUCUCUCAUUAUAAAAAUUUAAAAUAUAUAAUUAUUUAUACAUAACUUUUAAAUAGUUUAGAUUGUAUAUAUUAAUAUAAAUUUUAGUUUUAUAAUAUUAAUCAAUUAGAUAGAUUGUACAAUAAAAAUAAAAGAGAGAUUGAUGAAGUUUAUCUUAAUUAGUUAUUUUAAUAAAUUUAGUUGCAAAAAUUACAUGAAGUAUGCUAACUAAAUCAGUAAACCUAAAUGACGCAUUCAAAUUUUGAAAAAAAUAUCAUUGACUAAUUCAAAUCUAAUACAUAAGAAGAUUAGAUAGUAAAAAUAAAAUUUUAAAAGGUUGGAUAGCUGAUUUAAUAUGGUUCGUAUUUCAGAAAAACUCUAUAUGAUUUUACUUUGAUUUUAAUAUCAAACUUUAAUACUAUAUUUAUAUUGUGAUAAACGAUCAAUUUCAUAUUUAAAAUAUUUUGGAACAUCCAAAAUAUGAUUGGCCGACUUUUAAUUUUAACAAUUAGGUAUUUUAAAAUUUAUUAGAUAGUUUAACGUAUUCUUUACUCGAAUAAAAUUACUGAUUAAAUAAAACUGAUCAAUGAUAAACUUUGCCUUCUUAUGAAAUAAAAUUAAAAUAGAAAAAGGAUAAAUUACAUUUUGGUCCUCAAACUAUAAGACGCAUGACAAUUUAGUCCUCAAAUUUAAAUGGGUUAUUUUUUCUUAGCUCAAACUAUAAGGUACCAGAUGCUUUAGAGCUCAUACUUUAAUUAUUUAUAAUUUUUAGCUCAAAUUACGUGGAAUAUGACAUUUUAAUACUCAACUUUUACUACUAUUAUAAAGGGUCCGGCUACUAUACUAUUAUGAGUACGAUUGCCCUCGUACUCAUAAGUUGUUUUUGAUGAUAGAGCUUCCAAACCGACGAUCCACACCGUUAAACGUUAUUUACAGCAUUUAAAACUUCUAGAAAUCAAAUUUUAUAAUUUUUCGACAUCAUUUACCUUACGAUCAAGAGGUCACAAAUUUGACAAUUUUUAACGGCCGGUAUGGGAUACUUGCUAGUUUAACGGUGUAAAAGAAUCGGAAUUUGUUGAAUUUUUGAUAGAAAAUUCUAUUCACUACAUAGAUAAAGAUCAAUAACUCCGAUCUUGAAUUGAAGGAUCCGAUUAUCCUUUUUUAGGACGUCGUUCGAUUUUGACCGUUCAUUUUAUGCCCACUUGAUGGACUUUAUUAUGAUUUCGAAAAUUUACAAAAUUUAUUUUCUAGAAAUUUCAAAUACUCUAGAUCAUAUUUAACAGAGUGGAUCGUCGAUUCGAAAGCUGCAUCAUUGAAAACAACUUAUGAGUAUGAGGGCUCCAAUACUCAUAAUAGUAUAGUAGCCAUGGCCCUAUUAUAAAUAUAAUUUAUUAUUCUUAUAAUUUCUCUCUUAUUCCUUCUUUAUCUUUAUUAUGUUUUUAUUUUUAUGCUUUUACUACAGCCUUUUUUACUACAACUGCUUCUGCUGCUUCUUCAAUUUUUUUUAUUUGUAUUAUUUUUUGUUCUUUGACGUUUUUUUUUUGUUUCUUCUUUUUUUUAGCUUUAUUUAUUUUUAUGGAAUCCACCCACUGCAAUGGACGGUCUAUCUUCACUAGUAGUUCAUAAAAGGUCAGAACCAAUACAACAGAAACCUUCUUUAGGUACGUCGUAUCUACAUAUUAACAUCAACAAUGUUAGCAGCCGCUAAACAAUCCCAACAAAAAAGAGUCUAACAUCUAGAACACCGACAGAACUGACUGGAAAAUGUUUUCUUGAUUCGUACUGGCAAGAAAAAAGGACUAGCUUACCAAACACAAUAGUUUAUUAUUAGAAUUCUCCAGAAAAAGAAGCAAUAUAGAACACUUGUUGAUAAAAAUAACUUUCAAGGGCGCAAUCUAAAGCAACAAGACAAACUCUCUUUUUUUUUCUUUUUUUUUUUUUCGUGCUAAAGCACAAGCACAAUUCAGUCACAAACGCAAUCAAACUAUCUAACUGGCAAUGCUGUUUCAGCGAGCGAAUCGAUUUCUUGUUUCACAUCCACCCCAGUAUCCUUAGACAUACAAUCUGAGCUGUCAUCUAGACCAGAUGUUUUCUGCGAGCACACUGUCGGUUCCAGCCUAAACAUCUCGUCACUUUCUAAACUUGAUACCUUCUCCUUUGACUCCCCUUUCAGCAAGCCCACUACUUCAAGCAUUGUGGGCCGCCUUUCCGGCUUACUCUGUGUACAAACAAGCCCGACAAGCACUAAUCUCUUCAAUUCUUCCUCAACGUAGUUACCGUUUAGCUUUGGAUCAGCUAUUUCACUGAACCUCCCCUCCCUCGCCAAAGGAAGAGCCCAAUCACUUAUUGCUAGCUUCUGUGUGGGACUUAAAUUUUCAAUGGGUCUUUUCCCACUAGCGAGCUCUAAAAGAAGUACUCCGAAGCUGUAAACAUCACAACUCUCUGAGGCCUUUCCAAACAUUGCGUAUUCAGGGGCUAGAUAUCCGAGAGUGCCUUUUACUUUUGUAGUAACAUGAGUUGCGCCGUCAGGAAUGAGUUUUGCAAAUCCAAAAUCGGCAACACGUGCCUGAAAGUCUGAAUCUAGUAAGACAUUGCUUGCUUUUAUGUCCCUGUGGAUUAUAUGAGGUGUUGCAUGGUGGUGGAGAUAACUGCAAAGAAACGAAAGGUUAAGUUCAUUUCCCGGCGUGCUACAGAUCUUACAAAAAUUAUACAGACAGCCAUCCAACUAAUAGGCCAUUUUGGAAGAGAUCCCUGAACUUUUUUUUUUUUUUUUUUUUUUGAUUUUAGGCAAUUCUUUGUAGCCCUGUCAGAAUUUAAAGUUUCCUGCAAACGAAAGUUACAGAACACUUUGUUGAAUAAUAGAAUAUCUUUAUUUAAGUUAUACACUGCUAUAUCUAAAAUGUCACGAAAACUGUUAAGUUGAGAGAGGAGUUAUCUUGCUAGCUGUAGAUAGUGGCGUAUGAAAGAAUUAACUUACGCAAUUCCGUUAGCCGAUCCGAUAGCUAUCGACAUUCGCCUGCCCCAGUUGAGAAGGCACUCAGCAGAGUGCGUUCCGUGAAGAUGUGAGAGUAAACUCAAGUUGGGCAUGUAGUCAUACACUAUAAGGCGUUCCUGCCCCUCGGCACAAGAACCCCGUAGACUCAGGAGGUUCUUAUGCUUUACUUUUCCCAGAACCUCAACCUCAAUAGAAAAUUCUUGUUCGGCCUUGUUGCUCAAAACUUUGAGUCUUUUUACAGCGAUCUACAUCAAAGAAAGAUCAUUACCAAUAAAGCGGAGAAAGGAGGAAAGCAAUAGAACUGCUGCAUAUAUAGUAGAAGACUACUCACAUGAAGCUGAAGACUUCAGUCUGAAAUAUGUUACAUCAUAAUGAAUAAUGAUAUCACAUUGCAGUAACUGAGAAAAAAAAUACUAAAACCAAGCAGCUGUACUCUUUCCCACAUUAGCUUGUUCACGGGGUCAUUAACCUGUAUGAAGAGCUUUUAAAAGGGUGGUGACCAGUAUAAUUCAGGCUUCGUUGGCAUAUUCGGCAAAGAAAGCUCAAGAAGGAUCAAGAGAAAACAAGACAACAUAUUGAAACCUAGUUGAGGAAUGAUAAGUUCAAGUAGCAUCAAGGGCUAGAAGGUGAAUGCUAAUGGUAGCAGCAUUAUGAUAAAAGUAGUCAAAGUUACUAAAGAAAAACUGACAAAGAAGAAAAACGAUAGAAGAAUACAGAAGGUCAAAAUUGAAGCUGAUACAAGGAGUAAAAGAAAAGUAAUACAUUUAUGUCGGUCUAAACAACAGAGAAGACAGAAUGGAAAAGAUACUAGGAUAAACUAGAGGUAUUUUGUUGGCUAAUUCUUUAAUGUCAGUAGUGUAUGUUUCUGAGAAAUUGACUAGGUGUUCAACGGGAUCUCCAUUGGGAUCUGAAAUGCAUAGGGCUGUUGACUAAGCUUCCUAACUAGAUUCUUUUAUUGAAACAAUAUAAUGCUCAAAAAAUGGAGACUAAAUACGCCAAUAUGACUAAUGAAAAUGAGGUUAAUUACAAAAUUUAACUAAAACUUUUAGAAUACUAAUGAAAAUGAGGUUAAUUACAAAAUUUUACUAAAACUUUUAGAAAAACUCAAAAAGGAAUACUAUAAAAUUCAAGAAGUAAUUGAUUGAGCAUAGAAACGACAUGCUUAAACAAGGAGCUGAGAAUAAAAAUGUAAAAAAGGAUCCCCAUAUAAUUUUAAUUUUAAAGAAAGAGAAUAGAAAUUCCAGAGUGAUUAGAAAGUAGGGUGUUCCCUUAAAUAAAUAACUCAUUUAAGGCAUGUAUAUGGCUGGCAGGCCAUGAAUGGCGGCAGCAUGAGCAAAUUCUGAUCACAAAUGUUUAAACUGAGUCCUUUCCCUCAUUCUCUCUGAUGUUAAAUGAGCUUAUUAAACCUAUCUAACAUAAAGUCACUUCACAUCAACUAUUCGCUAGUGAAUAGUUUCGAUAAAUAAGAUGAGAUCAACAACAUUACGACUUAGAAUGAAAAAGGACACUGAAGACUAGAGGUUUCAGGACAACCUCGUAAGCUUAAAGCAUAGAGUACAUAGGUUAUAAUAAUACAGACGGACAAGACAAACAAAUAUCAAAGAAAAAAGAAGAAUAUUCGGAUCCACAACAAAUAGCCAGCAGAAACUUGUUUUGCUGGAUAAAAACUUGCAGAAACUAGUACAAGUACCUAAGGAAAACUAAGUAACUGCACCACCCUUAACUGAAUGGAAGCCACCAAAAACUAAAAAAAAAUGAUGGGAAAAUAUAGGAAGCAGAUGGGCUCAAGGGAUUCUACAAAUUCAGGCUAUCAAAACCAAUCUCACUUUAAUUUGUGCAACUAUGAUAGUUGAAGGGUUUUGUAAUGCACAGUCCUUCCAACAAGUUAUUAGAUUAGUUUUAUGACUUGCGAUAGAAGAAGUAAUAAAAGCAACUGUUCAACCAUUAAAAGUAGUAGGCUUCUUAAUUUAGAGUUAUAUUUCCUUUUACAGUUACAUAUUCAUAAUUCCUUGUUAUGUUAAGAAGGAAAAGUAUGAAAAGUACGGAUCAACUGAGGAGGCCGCAAUAUAAGUCAUUAUUGAUACAGCUAAUGAUGAUGAUGAUGAUUGGCAGAAGCUCAAUGUCCAAGUUUCCUUCCUAAAGAAGGUUGGGACAUGAAAAAACAUGAUCUAAAGGCACAAUCUUAGAGUCAUGUCAAAUAAAGAGAGUUUCUCCCAAUUAUACAGAACACACAUGAAAUUUGCGCAACAGAAAUAGUAGCAAGAAUUGUAAUGCAUAACCUUGAAAAACGUCUUAAAGUAAGGUAUUACUAUAAUUCGAUACUUAAGAACAUUAGAUAAGAUAGUAGAAGGAAAAAUAAACCCAAGUCAAAGAGGACACGUUUAGUAUCGAGGAAAGGGAGCCAUACAAAACCAAAGGAAAUGAAUGAUUGAAUUGACCCACUUUAUGUGAACCUGAUACAGCAUAAAAUUUGUCUUAAGAAUGUAAACGAUCAGAAAAAGGGGUUGUAAAAAAUUUGUCUUAAGAAUGGAAAUCCAUGUGCUUUGAUUAAACCAUGUACAUCCUUCCAGAAUAUUUCUAUAGAUAAUAUCUGAAUAAUACUGAUGAAAAAUGAUAAUUUAUUUUUCUACUCCGAACCUAACAUAUAUAUGUCUUAAAUAUAGGCAGACGUUAUCCGAUUUGUUCUAAAGGCCAUAACGAUCCAAUAGAGUAGUCAAUGAUCUGCUGACCUGCUGACCUGUGACUUCAGGAACAUGUACUUAAUAGACGGUGUUAUGAUUAAGAGCCAAGCAUACACACUUGACAGACUAAUACUUGUUUCUUUUUUCUUUUUUAGGAACUGAUCAUUCUGCAAGGUUGAGGUCAAUCAUUAUUACAGCAAAUGCUGGUUACAUAAACAUAGAAUUAUUCUGAGCAUCACCAAGUAAUUAUUAGUUCUUGCACAAAAAUACAUGCAAUGCUCUUCCAUAAUUGCAGCAAGAAGCAUCCCUCGAAAAAAGAAAGGAGAAAUCUAAGAAAAGCGUACCUCCGUUGGCUAUUCAAAACUCAAGUAGCAAUCUGUUACAACGUCAACAUGUUAGGCACUCAACAAAGGAGACUUAAUACCUUUUGGAUUAGUUUUUCGACUUCAACAUGUGAUAAGUACAAGAUUACUGACACCCCUAUUGCCUUAAAUUUAAAUCUAAAAUAAAUUUAAAUUUUCGUUUCUCAUUUAAUUAAGAUAUUUAACUUUGAAUUCAAAAUAUAAUUUUUUAAUUUGAAUUCGAAUUUGAAUUUUGAAUUCAAUAAAUUUGAAUUUAAAAUUUAAGUUUAAAAUUCUAAUUUAAUUUAAAACUUGAAUUUAAAUUUUAAAUUUGAAUUUGAAUUUGAAUUUAAAUUUUGAACUCAAAAAUCUAAACUUAAAAUGAAAUAUGAAUUCAUAAAUUCAAAUUUAGGAUUUGAAUGAAAUUGAAUUUAAAAUUUAAUUAUACACAACUGAAAUCUGAAUUUAAAUUCAAAAUUAAGUUCAAAGUUUACAUUCAAAUUUCAAAUAAAUGUGUAUAUAAGGGUGUAUUUUGGAAUAACAUAAUCAUUAUUAUUAGGAUUAUCAAGAUAUAUAAGAUGAACCAAACAAAAUAAUUCUAUGUAUGUAGUAUUCCAACAUCAUAUUACUGCACUGAACCAAAUGGAGUAACACAACAUUACUAAUAAUCUGAAUCACAGAUGUCAUAUUAAUAGCUAUAUUGAGAUAACCAGCAAUACUUGCUGAAGAUAAGACCAAACUAUUUGUUAGGCAAUUAGUUACUUAAAAUAAUCCUUCAUUUGUUUAGUUUGAUAAACAUGUAUUAGUUGCGUUGUUAAUCAAUUUGUUGGGUUGUUAGCAUUGCUACCUAUUAAUAUAUUGGUAACCAUCUAGGCCAUUAAUGUACCAGAGAGGAUCCACCAAUUAAUUCAUAUUAUUCUUAUACUACCGCAUCUCAUCUUCUCUUUUCUAUUCUUAAUUUUAUUGUGAAUCACACACACCAUAACAAGUGGAGUGAUCUUAUGAGUGUGCCUACCACCAUAACAAUACUACAUAAUGUGAAUCUAACAAGCCCUGAGGUAAUCUUGUACUAUUAGUAAUCCUGCAUUACUGAUAGGAUUAUAUGCUGAAUGAAUCAAACACAAUAAUUCUAAAAAAGUAUCUGUAGGAUUACAAGUAAUCCUAAUAGGAUAACUUGAACCAAAUGCACCCUAUAAGGUAAUCUUACCACCACAUACAAAAAGUGACAAAAUUUUGAAAAUGCACUUCUCAACUGCAUAUAAUCAAAUAAAUUAUUUAUAGUUGCAACUAUUAUAUUCGACCAACCGAGAUGUAUUUCAUUGUAAUUGCUACAUUUCUAACUGCAUGUAUCUCCAACUAGCCGCAUUUCAUAUUAGCCUUCUAAGCGAGGCAAUCUGUAACUUUUAAGGGGUAUAUAAAAAAUUGCUCCUAAAAACAACAUAUGGGUAAAAAUGUAAGGAGAUCACCUCAGAUAUAUGUUGCAUCUGCCAGUUAGAGAGUAGGUUAGAGAGGAGCAGAGUAGUUGAAUUGAUAAAUAAGUGGAGUUUAGAUGGCUUAACUUGCAAGGUGCACGCAUAGAAGGAUAGACCGGAGGGAAGAGUCGGAGGUCAAGCGGUAACCCUAGGUUGGGGAAGGGGUUGGCGAUGGAGAAGUAAGGAGAAGACAAGUUCCUGUGAGCAAGAAUUGAAGCCACAAGGAGGCAUCUCUGCGGAUCGGGUUGUCAGCACAAGAUCAUCCGACUUGUUAAGAUAGUAGUUGGGUUCGAGUCCAUAUUGUAUCAGUCCUGCAAAUUAAGGCCCACUGGCCCACAUUCUGGAUUUUUUCUCAAUUUCAGUUUAGUACUUAGGGAUUCAUAAUUUUUAUUUUUAGUAGUUGCACGAGAUAUAAAAGGGCAGAUGUAACCAAGAUGGAAUCAUGAAUAAUAUUGAUAUUGAUUUCCUUCUCAACUUCAUCUCGUUCCCUCCCACUUCUUCUUCCUCUCUCAUCUUUUCCUCUUCUUCUUAUCCUUCCUUAGACCCUGCUUAAUCUCUUAACUUAUUCUUCUCUUACCUGGAUCUGUAAUAUUCGAGUCGGAUCAGAGACCAUCAUUCUCGACGCCGUCCUCGUCUCAGCGAAAUCUCAUCAUCGACGGGUUGCGUCGAGUCAGGUACGCAACAAUAUAGUGCCGUUUGAGUUGGACCCGUAAAUUUUUAAGAUUGAUACCCUCAAAAUUUUAUUUGUUUUAAUUAAAGUAUUACCGCAGGAUAAAUGGACAUUCCAUUAAAACUACCUGCUUUAUUUAGUUAUCAACAACAACCAAGGGUCUGACUUGUCUUUUCCAAAUCUUUAUUUAAAUGGAGCUAUUAAAUUUAACAGUGCAGUCAAAUUUAUAAAUAUCUCCAAUUUAUAUAAUAAAAAUAAUUUAAAUUAGUAGAAAUGAAAGUUGAGAAGGCGAGGAAUGAGCGAAAUUGGAGUGGGCUUCUACUUUCUAGGGUCCUAAUGAAUGAGCGAAACAAGGAUGGGUCCUAAGGUGUCAUCUACAGGCCUUAUCCAAAAAAAAAAAGAAAAAAAGAAAAAAAGAAAAAAAAAAAGAAAAGAAAAGCUGAGAAUUCACCAAAUGUUUCAGAAAUUAACAGACAAUCCCUCAACUUUAGUCAAUUACAGAAAAUCCUCUGUCAUCUCUCGAGUAUCGAAUCAUCCCCUCAUAGCGUCUCCCAAUUUUUGAUGACAAACGCCUUACGGUGAGUAAUCUAUUAAUAGCAGUUAAUAGCAGUUAUAGAAAACAAGUAAUGGAGGUUCCAACUAACAGUUAAACUUAGUGAAAUGAUCAUGCUGCCCCAAUAUUAAAGGAUACCUGUGAACCGUCCGAGAGCUGGCCCCAGUAGACGCUGCCGAACCCCCCUUCACCGAGCUUGUUGUCAUAAUUGAAGCUGUUGGUAGCAGAAUGCAGCUCCUUCAGCGAGAACACCCUCCAAUUCGUUGCAUUCUUCCUCCCAUGUUCACUCCUACACCAUAUACGCGGGCGCGCGCGCGCACAAAUUAAACAGAAUCCCGUUAAUAAUUUGACCCACAAAUCUCCUAUUUUCCACACCAAUCUCUUCUUCUACUGUAUUGCCCUUUCUCGAAUCCCUCCCAACGAAAAACAAAAUCAUUCAUGGCAAUUCUUUUCUUUCUCGGGUCAAAUGAACUGCGCCCUACAUUUCCUUCUAUAGCAGAAUUAAAAAAUAAAAAUAAAAUAAAAGAAUCAUUCCUUUGUAUGCUGUCCCGCCGAAAGUAAAAGCACAAGUAGGACCAAUAAAGUUCGAAACUCGUCGUCGUCGUCAUCAUCAUCAUCAUCAUCAUAAGAGGAAGAAGAAGAAGAACAAGAACAUACCGGUCGAGAAUCGUUCGGCAACAGAAGAAAGAACGGAAAGACAUCGGAGAGAGAGUCACUGCUGCUGCUCCGAUUGAUGAGAAAGUACCAAGUUUCUGAAUACAAACCCAGAUGCUGCUUUCUCCUCUUCUUCCCAACUUAAUCUUACUCUAUGCAAUUACAAGGAACGGAGGAGCCCAAAGAGAAUAGUUUAUUACUAUCGGGACCAUAUAAGAGAUGAUGCUCGCCAAGAAAGAAAGAAAGAAAGAAAGAAAGCAGCAUCUGGGUUUGUAUUCAGAAACUUGGUACUUUCUCAUCAAUCGGAGCAGCAGCAGUGACUCUCUCUCCGAUGUCUUUCCGUUCUUNGAGAGGCGGGCGGACACUGGAGCAAGCAAAAGCAACAGCCUACCGAACGGGCUGCGGCUCUCGAUGACGUCUUUUCCUUUUUCUUCUUCUUUUCCUUUUUUUAUUUUUAAAUUGUCUUGUUGGUAUUAUUAUUAUUAAUAUUUUAUUUUGUGUAUUUUGGCGUCUGAUAGAUUCGCGCGGUAACUGUGCGACGAUUUCUACGUGGGAAGAAUCAUCCCUCCACGGGCGUAGUACCUGCGCCUAGCCGCCAACCAUUUUGGCAUAAAUAUUUAAUUAUAAAUUUUAUAAUAUAUAAAUAAAAUUUUUUGAUAUAAUAAUUCACAAAUGCUAAAAUAAAAAAUUUUGAUCAGUUAUCCUAAAAAAAAUAAGGAUAAAAAUGAAAGGAAUAGUAAUAACAAAUGACUAUUGAGAUUUAUAAGUGUUAGAGAGAAAAAAAAAAGAGGGGUUAUCAAUCUUCAUUAAAUAAGUGGAUAUAUAUUUUUUAUAGAAAGGCUUUUUUUGCAAUUGACCUUCUGAAAAAAAUUAAUUUUAAAAAUAGUCUUAGCAAAUUUAUAUUUGCAAAAAUAGUCUUGUCCCUACCACGUAAGCGCCACGCUAGCGGGGCUGGGGCCAGAAAGUUAAGUUGAAUACGGUGAACUAUUAUCAUGUCCAAACACAAUAAAUCAUUCACCGUGUAUAGACACGGUGAAUGAUUCACCGUGUAUACUGCGUGACUUGAACUUGGCAGUGUGUGACUUGGACUUGUUGGUGAAUAUACACGGUGGUAAUACAUUAAACACGGAGAACCGUUCACCGUGUCUAGACAUGGUGAAUGGUUCAUCGUGUUCAGUAGAGCUACAUAACACUUACAAUUAUUUCAGCACAAUAAAUCACUAAAAUACAACAUCAACACACACAAUAACAAAUUCGAUACAACAAUAUAAGAAAUUCAACAUCAACAAUACAACAACAAAUCCAACACAAUAAUAAAUCCAACACAAUAUCAAUAGAGCAUCAAUACCUUAUCAUCACAACAGAAUAUCAAAAAUUAAAACAAAUUUUUUAAUAAUAUAGAAAGUUCGAUGUAAUUUAAAAUUUACAAAAAUAUAAUGUUAUGUUCUCCUUCUAGUCCCUCGAUCACGUCUACUUACAACGUCCCUUACCACGUCCGCGACCACGAUCAACACUAUGCUCAUCAAAGGGCUCUAUGACCUCCAACUGGUCGAGAUGUUCGAUAGUAGCACCCUCAAUAACUGGCUGUAAAGUCCUACGUCUCGAUCACCCAUCUGAUCUCGUGCUCAAUCAUAGCAGGUGUCGGUAGUAUGUCUGGUCAUGGAGGAGCUGAAGAGGAGGGCUGAUCUGUAUGAAGAGACUGCAACUGCCAUCGGCGCUUACGAUAAACAAUAUCGACUGGUCGAGGUGGAUCCUCUGGUACUGGUGCUGGUACUAUGUCUGGGUGAUAAAGUGGCUCCUCUAUCGGUAAAGAUGGCCUCGGUGGACUAUACAAUGGUAUAUGGCCUGACGUCGAUGGUCCACCAUGUUCUGCUGGCCGUGGAGGUACAGUGUGUGGAAGCGUAGGUAAAGUGUCACACCUUGCGACCGCCAAUUUGGUCAGUUCGGGCACGUCAACAGACACCGAACGGACAGCACCUCCCCUGUCUGCCCAAGGCUCCACCAACACAUGUAUAUCCAAAGCAAUUCAAACAGGGCGAAUGCAAGUAUACAUGGUUUGCUCGAGAACAAACAACAACAAGUAGUGAAAGCACUAAGCUACUACUGUCACGCCUCGAGACCGCUACCCAUUUGGUCCGGUUCGGGCGCGUCGAACAGAUGCCGAACGGACAGCACCUCCCCUGUCCGCCCAAGCCUCAACCACGAGAUCAUGUACAAGAAUUCUCCCAAGAACAAUUCAAUACAUACAUGAUCUAUACAACGAUAAUAGAAGCACCACAAGUGCUUAACAACAAGAGAAAGUAACACAAGUAUACAUACAAGUGCAAAAAUAGAGAAUUCUAUCUAUUACAUCACAUUCAUCCAUUGUUUACAUUCGUUUCAUCCAAAAUAUAGAUACAAGUUCGUUCACAUUUCUCCAAAAUGCAUCUCACAACCUAUACAGUAUCUACUCUCAUAUAUGUAGGUAUCUCUAAUGCAGUAGGAGAGCUACUAGUGCUAGGGCGCUAAGCCCUUACCGCGAUCCUCGCCCGGAGCGCUCGUACUCGGCCCUGCAACAAAGUGGGGUGAGAACUAUUGUCCAAAGUUUUCAAUGGGUUCGGCCGCCGACUCCGCCGAUCUCCCCACUAAGUCCAAGUGGACACAAGCAGAUAGAUAGAUAGAUAGAUAUGCGAAAACAGUAACGACAUAGUAAGAAAGCUACGCUACUAUGCCCAAAUCAUAUACAAUAUAUGCAUGCACAAUGUGAUAAGUAAUCAACUAACAUGCCACUAUGUUCAAGAAGUAAUGUUAUUUACUUGUUCAUCAAAUCUCUAGACUUAUUCAAUCCUUGGCCAACCCUGAGGUUCGCCCACGACUCACAUGCAUCUCAUGGUAAGGAGACUCAACUUGCUCAGCAAACUCGAGACCGUCUGCGGGACCCCAUAAGGCUAUCCCCGGGACCCCAUAAGGCUAUCCCUCGUGUGACAAACUCCGGAGCGCACGCUUGUGGAGAGCGACCACCUCAUGCUCUUAACAGACAGCGAGUAUGAUCUAAUCCUCUCAACUCGAGGAUACUCUAUCCACUAGGGCUAACAGUCAUUCGGGAAUCCACCUAUCCCAAUGUCCAUAUGCAAGUGUUUAACUACACUAAGUUCUUGUUCAAUGACUCAUCUCUAGGAAAUCCACCUAUCCCUAAGUUCACAUGUCAAGUGUCAUUUUUACACUAAGUUAUAUGCCACUCGUGCUAUUGUCAUUGUUAUUUACAUGCCACUCGUUAUGUCUUUUGUCAACCAUCGAGUCUAUCUCUUAUCUCAGCACUAUAGGAUUCAAUGUCUCGACCCAAUCCUUAUGUAACAUACUGAAACUUCGGUAGAAUGUUGGACUCUAGCCAAAUUGGCCAAAGAGCCCAAGAGAAAUGGAAGGACGAAGUCUAUUUAACACUCCAACAGUGUUCGAAGGGUUAAAAGUGAGUUCCAAUAAGGUUAGAAAGGUUUUAGCAUUACUCGGCGCGAAUUGGAGUCGAAACAAUGCGAGAUUGAGGUUCAGGAGCAUUCAGGCGUUUUCGGUGCGCGUACGCGUGAAAACGGGACCCGAAAGGCUAUGUUGGACUAUGAGCUAAAUUCGGCAUUAGCUUGAAUGAAAAGAUGACGAAAUCAUGCUCGAAAACAUGUUUUGGGGGUCUCGGUGCGAUUUGAAAUGAAUCGGAGGCCUAACGAACGAAAACGAACGAAAACGGAGAAAAGCUGAAAAUUGGCUAAGUCCUGAAAAAGGGCUGUGUUACCGGUGACACCCCUGGUGUGUACCGGUACGCAGUGUAAAAUCCGAGAAGAUGCCUCUCGGGUUUGGCUGUUGCGCGACCGUGUUACCGGUACCGUGUUACCGGUGACACCAGCCCGUAUACCGGUACGCGGGGGACCCGACAGCACAAUGAAGUCUGCUGCAAAUAAAAAUAGUUGGGGGGCUUAUUUGCAAUUGUGGCACACCGCAUAUGUUCCCAAACACCCCUUCACAGCAGCAAACACCUCUCCCCCUUAUUUCUUCUCCCUUUCUCUCUCUAAAAGCUCUCCACCAAAGCUUAAAGAGAAGGAGAAGAAGGUCUUGAAGGUGGAUUUUGAGUGUUUUGGAGGAUCAAGAAGCUCUCCUUCAUGGUGGACUUGGAAGAGCUUAGGCUAAGGUGAGUUAUUUCGCAAGAAUACUUUUAGGGUUUAGAUUUAUACCCUAAGAUUUAGUGUUUUGGACUUCUUGUAAGACUAGAGCCUCUCUAUAGGCUUGAGCUCCAUGAAAAUCUAUGGAAGCUUAGGGUGCUCUCAUGGUGAUCACCUAGGGUUUGUGUUAGAUGCCCUAGGGUUGGUCCAAUUAGGUUGGAGAUGAUAUUAGAGAGUUUCUUGGGUGGUUCUAAGCUUGAUUAUGCUUAGCAACUAGAUCAAUCCCAAGAAAUCUCAUUAUGGCAUUGUCAGGGCACCAAAUUUAGGGCUUUUUUCUCCAGGUGUUUCCGAGGUAAAUUGACCUUGUAGAAGCCUAAUUGGGGAUCAAACGAACGCGUUGGAAUGCUCGGUUCGACGAUACGACGAGUGUACGCGAGGUUAUUGAUGAAACGGUCGAUUUUGGUACAGAUAGCCGCAGCACGCGGAAUAGACGUCUAAAAAUCAUGAGAUCGGAUCCGGAGCAUCGUGGUAACGAGGAAUAAACUCCGGAAUAGACGGAUCGCGGAUUGGUGGUCGUUCAGGUGGUCGCGCUAGAGUCCGGGUGUAAUCGGGUCACGGGUGUCGCGGGAGGCCGAUUGCAAGUGACUACAAGCAAUCGGAACGCGUUUUGAGGUGGGUUGUGUUUACCGAAGCGACUAGGUCGCCUCUAUGUCUAGAGAAAUGGUUUCAUAUUGAUGCAUAUAAUGAUAGCUAAUGGUAAAUUAUGUGAAUGCAUGAAGUGAAUGCUAAGUAGGCUACCAAAGAAUGCAUGAGAAUAUAGUAGGUGUUACGCCCCGCCCCGAAUCCACUACCAAUUUGGUACGGUUCGGCCGCGGCGGCGGGCCGCCGAACGGACAGCACCUCCCAUGUCCGCCCAAGGCUUAACAACAGGAAUGUGUACAAGAAUUUACCAAGGAAAAUUAAAUUCUAAGCAUACACAUUCACCGGGGCACGAGCAGUGCCAACAAUACGAGAGCAAGCAAUCCACAAGAUAAACAAGUGAAAUAAAGAAAGUACUUACUAACUAUUACAAUAGUUCCAACAUUCUCAUUUACAUCAUUUUCUUUAAAUGAAUACAUUUUUCAUCCAAAAUAUAUAGCUCUCCAAAGCCUCACCUACAAUGAAUCUCUCUCUCAAUAUAUAGGUGACUAAUGCAAAAAGGAAAGCUACUAUACUACCACGGUCUCACAGGUCGGGCGCGAUGCCCUUGCCGCGGUCCUCUCUCUGCAGCCCUGAACCUACCACUGGAAAUAGAGUGGGGUGAGAACUAUCUUCCAUAGUUCCCAGUGGGCUCGGCCGCCGACUCUGCCGAUCUCCCCACUAGGUCCAAGUGGACACAAGUAACAACAGAUAGAUAGAUAGAUAGAUAUGUAUCUGAAAGCUGUAAAUGCGAUAGUAGGAAAACUAUGCUACUACGCCCAUAAUCAUGAAUAUGAAUGCAUGCAUCAUAUAAUAAAGGUUUGCUAUCAUGCUAACAAAUUCGAUCCAUGUUCGAAUAGUAAUGUUUAAUGACAUUAAUAAAUUUUUAACCUUUCCAUUUACCCAAUCUGUGGCGAGGCCCUAGGGCUCGCCCAUGGCUCACCUUUCAAUCCCAAAGUAGGGAGGGAGCUCCAAGUGCACCCAAGCCCGGGACCGUCUGCGGACCUCCAUGUGGUCCAGACCUCCAAGUAGUUAUAGUCGCACGACACUCCGGAGUACUCGACGACCAUCCCCUCCAUGUGGGGAUUGGAUGGCUAUACCAUCCCAACGCAGACUGUGAGCUAGAUCUAUCCUCUCCAAGUGAGGAUACUCUACAGCUAGAGCUAAUACCAAAUCGAAUCCUCUCCAAGUGAGGGAGCACUGUCACUAGGGUCCACAACCCAUUCAAAUCCUCUCCAAGCGAGGGUGCCCUACCACUAGGGUCAACAUCUCUUGCGGAAUCAUUUGUUCCCGAUAUUCAUGCAAUGCUACUUAGCUUUUCUAAAUUCAUUGUUCACAAGGCAUUUUCUAAGGGAUCCACCUAUCCCUAGGUCCAUCGACCUCUAGUGUUAUUUACACUACAUUAAUGCCACUCGUUAUCAUUCAAUGUUUGGAUGCCACUCGUUUGUUCUUUAACAAUAACACUACUUUCUAUGUCAUCAAUACCCCCAUCGGGUUCAUCUCUUUUCUUUCGCACCAUAGGAUUCACGUCUCGACCCAAUCCUCACCUAUCUAAGUUACCAAGCGUUCCAAGUACACUAGGUUAUCAAUUAGAAAGCAUAAGGAAUGGAGCUACUAUGCAAUCCUACAAUGCAACAUGAAGAGAUGAGAUUAAAUGCAAUCUAAGACAUAGAAAGGAGUUCGAAAGUUUCGGAUGACACCCCCCACCUUUAAUCGAUGUAGAGGUUUCGGAAAUCUCUCUCGGCGAGCUUUACGAAAAGGCUUUAGCCUUCCUCGCCCGAAUCAACACUAGCCCGGCCCGAUUUUGCCGAGAACUUCACGUCGGUUCGCCGAAUGCCAAAAUCGACUUCGCCCCCGCGUUUUGGGACCUAUCAAUAGGGUUUCCAAGGCUUCAAAUGAGAUCAAUCUCAUACAUUUACAAAAACCCCAUUUUGGAACCCUAGAUUUGCACCUAUAGCAAACCACCCCAUAAAUCCCUAGAUUCUUGGGAUUGAUCUAUUUAGAAGCUUGCUUAGGGUCCAUUUGACCCAUUCCAAGGCAUAAAACCCAAAAACCCUAAGUUCUAGAAGCUAGGGUUGUAGCUUACCUCUUGAGCUACACCAAUGGGAAGAGGAGAGGGAGAGGAAGAUGCUCCUAGCCUCCUUCUUCUUCUCCUCCUUCUUCUUCUUCUUCUCCUCCUUCUUCUUCUUCUCUUUCUUCUUCUCCUUCUCUUUUCCUUUUUUUUCUAGAGAGAGAGAGAGCAAGAGAGAAAGAGAGUGAGAGAAAGUGAAAUGAGAUGAGUGUGAGGGAGAGAGAGGGCUCAGCCCACUCAAAUAAAAGCCAUUUUGCAUAAAAGCCCCUCAACUUUCACUCCUGUGCACUGCCCUUACUGGGCAGUUUUCGCGCGGAGGGACCGGUCUCCCCGACUUGGGACCGGUCCCCGAGAGCUUCCCUCGGGCGCACGCGUUCGGGAACCAGUCUCUCCCCGGGAGACCGGUCCUCGGGAGACCGGUCCUCACCUGAGAGACCAGUCCCCGAGAGCUCGAUUUUCAGGACUUAGCCAAUUUUUGGUAUUUCUCGCUGGGACCACAUUCGGGAACCGGUCCCUCCCUACCAGGGACCGGUUGCACCAAGCAACCCUGCUACACCCAGCCGAGGGAACCGGUCUCUCACCUGCAGAGACCGGUCCCCGAGAGCAACAUCAGCCCAAUGAUGCAGUUUGCCUCAUUUGCUCUCGCGGACUCAACUCCAAAGCACUUUUUGUGUUUUGGACAUUCUCAACUCCCACAAAGAGCGUUCUCUCAACAAUCAGUCGAUCCUGGAUGAAGUACAAUCCUCAAAUUUUGAGAAUUCACUUCCUUACAUCCUCCCCUUCUUAAAAGGAGUUUCGUCCUCGAAACUAAAUCAAAUUUUUAACCUCAGCUUAAAUUCUUACCUUACUCCUCGAAUAAAUGAGGAUAGUGCUUUCUCAUCAGAUCCUCGAGUUACCAGGUAGCUUCGUGAUCCUCGUGAUUGCUCCACCUGACCUUCACAUAGGGAAUCUCUCGAUUCCUCAACUUUCGCACCUCUCGGGCGAUAAUCCCUACUGGAAACUCUUCAUAGCUCAAGUCUCCUUGAAGUUCCGGCGGUUCAUACAGCAUUGCAUGCUCAGGGUCGUGAAUGUACUUGCGGAGAUUGGAGACAUGGAACACAUUAUGUACAUCCGCAAGCUUCGGCGGUAAAGCAAGUCGGUAGGCCACCGUGCCGACUCGCUCCAAUAUUUCAUAUGGUCCAAUACAUCGGGGACUUAGUUUUCCCCGUACUCCAAACCGCUUCACACCCCGCAUCGGUGAAACCUUCAAGAAUACGCGGUCACCUACCGCGAAUUCUAUAUCUCGACGGCGUCUAUCCGCAUAGCUUUGCUGUCUUGACUGCGCUGUGAGCAAUCUCUUGCGAGCCAGACUGUCACGGCCCGGGACCCAGCAGAAGCCCGCCCGGCACGUGCCCAGACCCGCCAUACGUCUAAAACAUAUAAGGCGUCUAAAAACAACAAUAAUAAAAGCAAUAAUAAAAGACAUCUAGGAGUAUCAGAGCAUAACAAAUGUCUAAAUGCUACAACAAGGGAUAAGGAUAAAACUGUAAGUCCACCAAAUAAAAUAUAAAGUGAUACAAGGAAAACCCAGAUACAAGUGCUAUAGGUAGAUACAUAGGUGGUCUCUAUACAUGGAUACAAAAACCUCUCACUCUCUCAACUACAAAAGAAAGAGUAAACCACCUAGGCAAAGUACCGCUCCUCGCUAGCUAGCUAAGCGAUCCCCUUGCCGCGAUCCCGUGCCUUCGCCGGUGCCGAAGGCUCUGAAAAGUAAACCAUAAAACAGGGGCGUGAGAACUAUUAAAAAUAGUUCCCAGUGGGCAAUUACUGACUUCAGUGAAUGCACCACAAGGCCCAAAGCUACGAAAAGAUGUCAGUGACUAUAAAAGUAGAAAAGCGAAAGGUAAGUAAAAAUGUAACCUACUACGACAUGAUAUCUCUACUUAGCAUAAAUAGCAUAAGUAUGAAAGCAACUAUGCAUGAAGUAAAUGUCUCCAACUAUCAUGAUGUUCACAAUGUGAAAUAGUAAAGUUCCGUUGUUUACUAUUCUAAUCAAUGUCCAAGUAGUAUACUAAAUCCUCAUCUGUCCACAUGUCAUAAUGGAUACACAAAGUCAAAUCUGAAGAGACCCACCCGAAGGCUGUCUAUGGCCCUGAGACCCACCCGUAGGCUGUCUGGCCGGUGCCGAGCCUAAUGGCCCCGUGGUAGUCAUCAUCCCCACCCUAGGAAUGAGCCUGUCCCACGGCAAUCCACUUCGGCGCCCAAUCCCGCACGGCGAAUAUGAAUCGCGAUGGCUAUCUCCGGAGUGCCGGCUUGUAGGGAGCGACCCUCACAAGCAUGUGCGAAUGAGCACAAUGGCAAGUAGUCAAACGAUCUGUCGCAAGUACCAAGUCCUCAUGUCUAAUAACAUGGAAUGUGUCAAGUAUCUCAAUGGCCUAUCCCUAUGUCAUCAUGUCUCUAACAUGGAAUAUAGCAGAUAUGUAGUGGCCUAUCAAUAUGUCUCUAUGUUGCAGUUUCAUAGUUUACUAGUUUCAAGUGCCCCUUGAUGACACUCUUGUUCUCUAUGUCAAAGCAUGGCAACUAUGUUCCAAAGUAUAUAUUCCAAGUCAUAAUUCUCAUAAGAGAUGUAUUUUCCACUUGCAAAAUAAACACUUUUCCCGUAUGCAUGCAUUCUACUCAUAUAGCUCUACUAUAUAGUGAAAUUUUCAUAAUACACAAGGCAUGCAUUUUAAGUGCUCUAAAAUUCAUAUAAAUUCCAUUUAGCAUAGAAAUGAAUUUAAAAAUAUUUUACAACAAGUAGAAAGAGCAUAGGGGCCAUUUCGCCCCAUUUCCACGAAGCCAAACCCACCAAAACUCUUGCAACUCUUCGCAAGCUCCGACGAAGAUGCCCACUAGCCUCCUAGCACCCUAAAGAUGUAGGAACAAGGGUUAAACGAACCUUACGAUUAACCCUAAACUCAAUCAAUAAGCAACAUAGGCUAAGAUGGAGAAAAACUCACCUAGGUGAAGAAAUUCUCUCUCUAGCUCCAAAUGGGAGUUAGAGUUCUUCAAAUCCAACCUAAAUAAAGGUUCCAAACCCAUCAAUUAGGUCUCAAAACCCUCAAAUCCAAAAACCCCCAAAAUAAACCCUAAAUCCCAAAAUCUAGGGUUUCAUCUAGUAAAACCUAGGAAAACAUGUAUCAAAUGGGGAUUACAAGCUACCAACCUCAAGAGAAGCUCCAAUCCAAGCUCAAAACCAAGUAGGGUUGAAGUUUGAUCCUCCACAAAGCUCCAACCGCAAGCUCGAAGCCACCAAGGUGAGAAAAUGGGGAAGAAGAUGAUGCUCCAAAGCCUCCAAGCAAGCUCCUUCUCCUCUUCUUCUUCUUCUUCUUCUUCUUCUUCUCCCUCUCUUCUUCUCUCUCUAGAAUAGGUGGGAAGGGAAGAAAUGAGGAGAGAAGAGGGUGAAAUGGCCAAAUAGGCCAUUAAAAGUAACAAAAUCCACUUAGGCCCCUCAAAAACUCAAAUUUACAUCAGCCCGGUCUGGGCAGUUUUCGCCCAGAGGGACCGGUCUCCCCGACCUGGGACCGGUCUCUCAGCCUGCCCUCGAAAAUCCAACGUUCGGGAACCGGUCUCUCCCUGCGCGGGACCGGUCUCUUCCCGCGCAGACGCACUCGGGGACCGGUCUCGACUGCCAGGGACCGGUUGCCUCGCCGGCUACGCAGCACUGUUCACUGGGGGACCGGUCUCUCCUAUCAGGGACUGAUCCCUGAGAGUAAAAACUCUCAGGACUCUGCCAAAACUCUCGAGAUCAAACUUUUAGGCCGGUAUAUCAUCGACGGCCCUCCACCAAGUGUGGAAAAGUUCGGAAUACAAAUCGAACACUCGAACCUCGCAAUUUGCAAAGGUCCAGUGUGCUACACAGACGGACUUUCUCUUCCGCUUCUCGCAACACAUCGGGGCCGAACUCAGCACACUCGCCUACAUCGCUCCAGUGUAUAGGAGACCGACACGUUCGCCCAUAGAGAGCCUCGAACGGUGCCAUCUCCACACUAGCAUGAUAACUGUUGUUGUAGGCGAACUCGGCCAUAGGUAGGUGGUCACACCAACUUCCCUUGUAGUCGAUGACACACGCUCGCAACAUAUCCUCCAGAGUUUGAAUAGUUCUCUUUGUUUGCCCAUCGGUCUGAGGAUGAAAUGCGGUACUGAAGUCGAGCCGUGUGCCAAGGGCUUCCUGCAGGCUCUUCCAGAAGUGUGAAGUAAACCGGAGGUCACGAUCCGACACGAUCAAUUUCGGCACCCCAUGCAGUCUCACUAUCUCGUCAAGAUACACCUGCGCUAACUUGUCUCCCGACCACGUGGUGUGGAUCGACAAGAAGUGAGCCGACUUUGUCAAUCGGUCCACAAUCACCCAAAUUGCAUCGUGGCCGCCCGUUGAGCGAGGCAAGCCGACCACGAAGUCCAUUGAUAUGUCCUCCCAUUUCCAAACGGGGAUUGGUAGGCUUUGAAGCUUUCCCGCUGGAAAUCGACGCUCGGCCUUCACUUGUUGGCAUGUUAAGCACUUUGCCACAAAGCGUCCAAUGUCGCUCUUCAUUCCCGGCCACCAAUAGUGCAUUUUUAGUCCCUGAUACAUCUUGGUGCCGCCCGGGUGAUCAGCAUAUGGAGAUCGGUGUGCUUCUUGUAGAAUCAAUUCACGAAGCUCUCCAUCUUACGGCACACACCAUCGGUUUCGAAACCGAAGCGCACCAUCGGCAUCUACCCUGAAAUCGCCGCCACGCCCUUCCUCGAUGUUUCGCCACACCUUUUGGAGUUCUGGGUCUGCAGGUUGCAGAUCUUUAAUCCUCUCCAACAAGGUCGGUUGGACAACGAGUGCCAUCAACUGAGUCGGGACCUCGGGAGCGACCACUUCAAGGUCCAAUCGCUCCAUGUCCAGCCAUAGGGGUGUUUGCUGGAUAACAUCAAAAGCGAGGUUCUUCGCCGACUUUCUACUUAGUGCGUCCGCGACCACGUUUGCCUUCCCGGGGUGGUAGAGGAUAUCAACAUCAUAAUCCUUUAACAGCUCCAACCACCGCCGCUGACGCAUAUUGAGCUCCUUCUGUGUAAACAGGUACUUCAAGCUCUUGUGGUCAGUAUAGAUCUCACAAUGGGCACCAUAUAAGUAGGGCCUCCACAGCUUUAAGGCGAAAAUCACCGUCGCAAGCUCCAAAUCAUGGAUGGGGUAAUUCUUUUCAUAGCUCUUCAGCUGAUGGGAUGCAUAUGCGAUCACUUUCCCGUUUUGCAUCAACACACACCCCAAUCCAAGAUAGGAGGCAUCACUGUAGACUACAAAGUCUUCGCCCUGCACGGGUAGAGCGAGCACCGGAGUCGAAGUCAGUCUUUGCUUCAACUCUUUGAAACUCCGGUCACAUUCUUUGCUCCAAACAAACUGGGUGCCUUUUUGGGUUGGGCGGGUAAGUGGAAUCACUAUUUUGGAAAAGCCUUCCACAAACCGCCUAUAGUAGCCCGCCAAGCCCACGAAGCUUCGAACCUCCGUGACAUUCGUCGGACGCGGCCAAUCCCUGAUUGCCUCAACUUUUCUUGGGUCUACAGAAACUCCACCCGCGGAAAUCAUAUGCCCCAAGAAGGCGACCUCGCGAAGCCAAAAGUCACACUUCUUUAGCUUAGCAUAUAGCUUCUCCUCCCGAAGGACUUGAAGCACUAUUUUCAAAUGCUCGGCAUGUUCCUCGUCACUACGAGAAUAGACCAAUAUGUCGUCUAUGAAGACCACGACAAAUCGAUCCAAAUACUUCUUGAAGACACGGUUCAUUAAAUCCAUAAAUGCCGCUGGAGCAUUCGUGAGUCCAAAUGGCAUGACCGUGAAUUCGUAGUGUCCAUACCGCGUACGAAACACAGUUUUUUGCACAUCCUCCGGCUUAAUUUUCAAUUGGUGAUAGCCGGACUGCAAGUCUAUCUUCGAGUGUCACACACGACCCCUGCAAUUGAUCGAACGAGUCAUCGAUUCGGGGUAGUGGGUACUUAUUCUUGAUCGUGACCCUGUUCAAUUCUCGAUAAUCCAGAGUCGGAACGAUCCAUCCUUCUUCCGUACAAACAACACCGGGGCUCCCCACGGUGACACACUUGGCCGGAUAAAUUGCUUGUCGAGGAGGUCUUGCAGUUGACUCCUCAACUCUUUCAAUUCCGCCGGCGCCAUUCGUAACGGAGCCUUCGAGAUCGGUGUGGUACUGGGAACCAAGUCUAUGACGAACUCGAUCUCCCGAUCCGGUGGUAUCCCCGGCAACUCCGCAGGAAACACAUCCGGGAACUCCCGCACCACAGCUAACUUCUCUAAUGUUGGAGCUAUCUGUUCCACUUCCACAACAGUCGCCAAGAACGCCGUGCAACCGCUGUUGACUAAUUUCCUUGCUCUUGUCGCCGACACCGUCGCGACGAAGCACGAGCUUUGACAAGCCCGAUACGUGAACUCCUCUUGUCCUGGCUCACGGAAUGUGAUCACCCUGCUCUUGCAGUCGAUCGUCGCGUGAUACUUCGAGAGCCAGUCCAUGCCCAGAAUGAUAUCAUAAGCCUCAAGCUUUGUGAGUUCCAGCGUCCGGAUAGGCAUAAUCCAUUCGCCUAUUUGUACGGGACACGACGCACACUCCGAGUAAGUGUUAAACGUCGACCCAGGGCCCUCUACUCGCCACUUGUCACUCGCCUCAAUGAGAAUGCCAUGCAUGCGUGCGAAUGAUCUACUUAUGAAUGAAUGCGUGGCUCCUGUAUCAAAUAAAGCCCUGGAGCGAACUCCGUUAAUUAAAACCAUACCUGCCACAAGGCGAUGCUCCUCCGCCUCCGCAGGUUCCUCAGCUUGGACCUGAGCGGCGAACACCCGUCCGCUCGGGGCCGAUCGCGUCACUUCAGGUUGACGCGGCAUCAUCGCGCGUCCAGUCGACGCGGCCGUCGGUGGAGCUCCUCCAUAAUGAGCCGGGAUCGCCGGCGCCGAUGUAGUCGAGGGGGCAGGUGAGGCUCCUCCUCCUGGGCAAUCUCGAAUGAAGUGCCCCGGCUGCCCACACUUGUAGCACUUGCCUCAGCCUUGUUCACAGCGCGAGACCGGGUGGUCUCCGCCGCAUAUCAUGCAUCGCCGCACUCCACCGCUCUUCUGUUGAGUGCACGCAUACUUCGGGGGCUUCUUGUGACGUGUCUGUCCCCCCGAACUACCGCCACCUUGGCAUUUCUUGCCCUUGUCCUUAGACUCGGCCAAAGCCUCACGCUUCUCCCGAAUGUGGGCAUCUCCAUGCUCCGCCCAUAGGGCUCGAUCAAAGACCUCCGCAAAGGUCGUAAGCUUAAGUAUUUGCACGGCCUUGUAGAUCCCCGGCCGAAGUCCUCGCAAGAACCACUCGGCCCGGUUCCGGUCAUCCUUUACAACGUCCGGGACACAGUCAAUAACAUGGGAGAAUUCUUGUUCAUACUCCGCCACUGAGCGGUCCCCUUGUUCGAGCUUGCGGAACUUCUCCUUGAGCUUCCGCUUCAGUGCGUCGGAAAAAUAGUUGGCGAACAUCUCCCGCUUGAAUUCUUCCCACAGCAUCGGCGGAAGACUGCGAAGCCGAUCCCGUCUAACGCGCUCCCACCAAACCUUCGCCGCCUUCUCCAAGCAGUGGGUGGCGAGAUACACCUUGUCCCUCUCCAAGGUACGCAAGUCGUCGAAGAAGGUUUCCAUCGAGUCGAUCCAAGACUCGACCAUCUCCGGUUCCACCUUCUCGCCCUCAAAGGUUGGCGGAUGGAACUUGUUGAACUUGAUAAGAGCCGCCAACGCGCGCUCUCCCUCCACGUCUUCGGCCGUCACAUCGGGUGUAGCCGAUCCCGAUGCCGCCUGUGGUGCGAUCGCUGGCGGUGGGCGUGCCGUCACCGGAACCGCCGCUAUGCCCUCACCCUCUGCCGCUCUAAGUAUAUGAGUCGAGGGUGCGGGCGGACCACCGCCUUCAUUUGCCGUCGCAGCCGUCGCUGCGAUCUACCGCUCCAAUAGAUCCUGGAGCCGCUCGAAUCGGGUCUCCUAGCGCUGCACCAUGUUGGUCAGCGCGGUCACCUGCGCUUGCAACCGAUCGAUCACGCUCGGUUCCUCCUGCUUGGGCACCUCAGGAGUCGGUGCUGGGGCAGAUCUACGCGUGUAGCGUCUUGGAGACAUUAGUCCCUGAAACGCAAUUACUCGGUCAGUCACCUUAACCAAUUGCCUCGUUGCAAUUACGACACGUGACAACUCAACCACAAAAUCGGGCGGAAGCACACAAGUGCACUCGUUCUAGGCUCUUGGUAUCAUGUCGUCGGCCGCCGACACAACCACCUCAAGACGAGAACUCAUACAACUUGAAUCCGUCUCUAAUCACAACUAGAGACAUAUUACCACCUUCGAUCCAAUCGAAUCAACUUCCGCCAUCGCUACAGGUUCACGUUCCGCUCACGCACCUAUAACCUUAGGGCUUACCAACCUAGGGUCUCCUAGGUCAUCCUAGACUCUCUCUUUACUUGCUCUUAUUGCUCUGAUACCAAAACAGCUGUNAUAACCUUAGGGCUUACCAACCUAGGGUCUCCUAGGUCAUCCUAGACUCUCUCUUUACUUGCUCUUAUUGCUCUGAUACCAAAACAGCUGUCACGCCCUGCCCCGAAUCCACUACCAAUUUGGCACGGUUCAGCCACGGCGGUGGGCCGCCGAACGGACAGCACCUCCCAUGUCCACCGAAGGCUUAACUACAGGAAUGUGUACAAGAAUUUACCUAGAAAAAUUAAAUUCUAAGCAUACACAUUCACCGGGGCACGAGCAGUGCCGACAAUACGAGAGCAAGCAAUCCACAAGAUAAACAAGUGAAAUAAAGAGAGUACUUACUAACUAUUAUAAUAGUUCCAACAUUCUCAUUUACAUCAUUUUCUUUAAAUGAAUACAUUUUUCAUCCAAAAUACAUAGCUCUCCAAAUCCUCACCUACAAUGAAUCUCUCUCUCAAUACAUAGGUGACUAAUGCAAAAAGGAAAGCUACUAUACUACCAAAGUCUCACAGGUCGGGCGCGAUGCCCUUGCCGCGGUCCUCUCUCUGCAGCCCUGAACCUACCACUGGAAAUAGAGUAGAGUGGAACUAUCUUCCAUAAUUCCCAGUGGGCUCGGCCGCCGACUCUGCCGAUCUCCCCACUAGGUCCAAGUGGGCACAAGUAACAACAGAUAGAUAGAUAGAUAGAUAUGUAUCUGAAAGCUGUAAAUGCGAUAGUAGGAAAACUAUGCUACUAUGCCCAUAAUCAUGAAUAUGAAUGCAUGCAUCAUAUAAUAAAGGUUUGCUAUCAUGCUAACAAAUUCGAUCCAUGUUCGAAUAGCAAUGUUCAAAGACAUUAAUAAACCUUUAACCUUUCCAUUUACCCAAUCUGUGGCGAGGCCCUAGGGCUCACCUAUGACUCACCUUUCAAUCCCAAAGUGGGGAGGGAGCUCCAAGUGCACCCAAGCUGGGGACCGUCUGCGGACCUCCAUGUGGUCCGGACCUCCAAGUGGUCCUAGUUGCACGACACUCCGGAGUACUCGACGACCAUCCCCUCCAUGUGGGGAUUGGAUGGCUAUACCAUCCCAACGCAGACUGUGAGCUAGAUCUAUCCCCUCCAAGUGAAGAUACUCUACAGCUAGAGUCAAUACCCAAUCGAAUCCUCUCCAAGUGAGGGAGCACUAUCACUAGGGUCCACAACCCAAUCAAAUCCUCUCCAAGCGAGGGUGCCCUACCACUAGGGUCAACAUCUCUUGCGGAAUCAUUUGUUCCCAAUAUUCAUGCAAUGCUACUUAGCUUUUUCUAAAUUCAUUGUUCACAAGGCAUUUUCUAAGGGAUCCACCUAUCCCUAGGUCCAUCGACCUCUAGUGUCAUUUACACUAUAUUAAUGCCACUUGUCAUCAUUCAAUGUUUGGAUGCCACUCGUUUGUUCUUUAACAAUAACACUACUUUCUAUGUCAUCAACACCCCUAUCGGGUACAUCUCUUUUUUUUCCGCAUCAUAAGAUCCACAUUCCGACCCAAUCCUCACCUAUCUAAGUUACCAAGCGUUCCAAGUACACUAGGUUAUCAUUUAGAAAGCAUAAGGAAUGGUGCUACUAUGCAAUCCUACAAUACAACAUGAAGAGAUGAGAUUAUAUGCAAUCUAAGACAUAGAAAGGAGUUCGAAAGCUUCGGGAUGGCACCCCCCACCUUUAAUCGAUGUAGAGGCUUCGAAAAUCCUUCUCGGCGAACUUUACGAAAAGGCUUUAGUCUUCCUCGCCCGAAUCAACACUAGCCCGGCCUGAUUUUGCCGAGAACUUCACGUCGGUUCGCCGAAUGCCAAAAUUGACUUCGCCCCCGCGUUUUGUGACCUAUCAAUAGGGUUUCCAAGGCUUUAAAUGAGAUCAAUCUCAUACUUUUACAAAAGCCCAUUUUGGAGCCCUAGGUUUGCACCUAUAGUAAACCACCCAAUAAAUCCCUAGAUUCUUGGGAUUGAUCUAUUUAGAGGCUAGCUUAGGGUCCAUUUGACCCACUCCAAGGCGUAAAAACUCAAAACCCUAAGUUCUAGGAGGUAGGGUUUGAAGCUUACCUCUUAGGCUACACCAAUGAAGAGAAGAGAAGGAGAGGAAGAUGCUCCAAGCCUUCUUCUUCUUCUUCUCCUCCUCCUUCUUCUUCUUCUCCUACUUUUUCUUCUUCUCUUUCUUCUUCUCCUUCUUUGUUAUCUCUAGAGAGAGAGAGAGAGCAAGAGAGAGAGAGUGAGAGGGAGUGAAAUGAGAGAGUGUGAGGGAGAGAGAGGGCUCAGCCCACUCAAAUAAAAGCCAUUUUGCAUAAAAGCCCCUCAACUUUCACUCCUGUGCGCUGCCCUUACUGGGCAGUUCUCGCGCGGAGGGACCGGUCUCCCCGACUUGGGACCGGUCCCCGAGAGCUUCCCUCAGGCGCAAGCAUUCGGGAACCGGUCUCUCCCCGGGAGACCGGUCCUCGGGAGACCGGUUCUCACCUGAGAGACAGGUCCUCGAGAGCUCGAUUUUCAGGACUUAGCCAAUUUUUGGCAUUUCUCGCUGGGACCACGUUCGGGAACCGGUCCCUCCCUACCAGGGACCGGUUGCACCAAGCAACCCCGCUACACCCAGCCGAGGGAACCGGUCUCUCACUUGCAGAGACCGGUCCCCGAGAGCAACAUCAGCUCAAUGAUGCAGUUUGCCUCAUUUGCUCUCGCGGACUCAACUCCAAAGCACUUUUUGUGUUUUGGACAUUCUCAACUCCCACAAAGGGCGUUCUCUCGACAAUCAGUCGAUCCUGGAUGAAGUACAAUCCUCGGAUUUCGAGAAUUCACUUCCUUAUAGUAGGAAUGAUGCUAGUUAAAAGCAUGAGAUAAAUGACAUUUGCAUGUUAACAUAAAGUAGAGAACAUGCUAGUUGUAAUGUAAAGAAUGCUAAAUAAAUGCUAGAAUCUAUGCAUUGGUUAAUGUUAGUUGAAUGCAUGUCAUGGAAAUGCUAAAUGUAAGCAUGUGGCUAAUGCUAAGAUAUACGUGAUAAUCAUGUUGUAGAGAUACUAAUGUUAACUAAAGGAUAUGGGCAUGUGGACAUAUAUAUAUGCACAUAGAUCAAGUGGCAUUGAACAUAGUGUUUUGAACAUAGGUUAAAUAUGGAUGAUAUUGAACCUAGUGUGAAUAAACAUAGGUUGGACAUCAAGUGGCAUCGAACCUUGUGUGAAUAAACAUAUGUUGGACAUCAAGUGGCAUGAACCUAGUGUUAAAGAAUAUAGUUCGGACAUGAACCUAGUGUUAAAGAACAUAGGUUGGACAUGAACCUAGUGUUAAAGAACAUAGGUUGGACAUGAACCUAGUGUUAAAGAACAUAGGUGGAGAAUGAACCUAGAGGUAAUUAAAUCUAGGUGAGUGGCAUUAACCUUGUGUCGUGAACAUAGGUUGUGAACUAAAUCUAGAGUCAAGUAAACCUAUGUUAUGGCAAGUGUGGCCUAGAGAGUGGCAUAUGUGACAAGGUAGGACCUGGUUAUGUCAUUGUGGCUAUAUAUUCCCGAAUUGGGAAUUGGAUCAUACUCACACUGGUUCCGGCUUGAGGGAGGUAGCUCCUCCUCAAGCGGUGUACUCCGGAGUGUAGACACCACGGGGAGAGUACCCCGGCGAAGAUCCCUCGGGUGGUAGUGCGAAGUGCCUCCCCCGGUAGACGGGAUAUAUGGAUUGUGAGUUUGGGGUAACAAGUGUUAACCGAGAUAAUUGGGUAAAGGCCAAAGUGAAUGUGUGAAAGCAUGCAUUAUGAGCUAUGGAUUUGGUAUUCCAGUUGAGUGGAUUUAUGGCUGAGGUGCAUGUGAGACGUCCUUCACCUCGAGCCUGGAUGCAUGCGGUAUUCCGCAGAUGAUUGACUCGAAACCGAGUUGGGUGGUUAGCUUGGCUAGGGUAAAGGAAAACCUUAGGAGCAAAUAACCAACGAUGUAAACUGACAAGAGGUAUAAGUUAUGAAAAAGCUAUGGAUAGCAUGAUAGCAAGUUAAAUCAUUUAUUCUACUUGUAUAGUUGCAUGAUUCGUAUAUAGCAUGACAUUAUUGCAUUCGUGAGGCAAAGCAUGGUUUUAUUAGUUGCAUAGUCAAGAUAUAUAUCUAUCUGUUCAUUGAACUAACCUGUGUUAAGGAUUUUAUAGGUUGGCGAAUUUCGUAAUGUUGAAUGGAGUCUUGAAGAGUUGAUCGCGGAAGUUUUUGAAGAAAAGAUUCAAAUUGAAGUACAAAGAUUCAUUCGUAAAGUUCGACAUUUAAGGUAUGAAGAAAAGAUCAUUUGUGGUGAAGAUACUUAAUUAGAAUAAGUUCAGAAGGCUUAGAUUACUUUAAAACUAUUUUACUGAACUUUUCUAUGUUCUGGGACCGGUCCCUGAGUUCAAGAGACCGGUUCCCCUAAGGUCCUCACUGCGUGAGCUUUGAUGCAACCGGUCCCCUGAGAUGAGAGACCGGUUCCCGAACCUUGGUAAUUCUGUCGCGCAGCGAGGGACCGGUCUCAAGCUUGAGAGACCGGUUCCCGAACGUUGUGAUUUUGGUCACGCAGCGAGGGGCCGGUUCCUCACUUGAGAGACCGGUCUCUCACAGACCGGUCUCCUCGAGAGGACCGGUCCCUGAGGACGACACAGGUUUUUAAAAAAGGACUCUUUGCAAUCCUAGUCUACUUCUAAAUCUUCUAAACAUAUAAAUAAGCCAUGGGGGUCAUCUAAAAGGUAGAGGCUUUGAAUUUCUACUUAUUCUAAACCCUAGAAACUUGUUUUUCCCGUUCAUAUGGUUUGAUUCUAAUAACAAGUUUCUAACAAUCAAUAAUCGACUUGAUUCUUCGUUUUUACUCGAGAACUCAUACGAGAAUCAAGUAGAUGUUUGAUGAAAGGUAGACCCUCAGUGCUUAUGGGAUUCUAAAGCUUAAUCACCACAAAUCUUCGAUUCAACAAGCUCCGGAAGGAGAUUCGGCGCGUGGAGCUCGUGUGUAGCCGAGAAUUCGGUGGACGCUUCGAGGGGUUGAGGCGUUGACGCUGCGAGGAGUUGCAGUGAGAUCGAUUGGUGGAUUCCCAUCGAUCAAGGACCGGUGAAGAUCGCUAUCUACGGAAAAUCGGUAAAUUGAGUCGUGUAUUUUUGUCAAAAUCACUUGUACUCAAGUUUUCUUAGUGGAUUUUCUUCGCGUGAUCGGUCCCGUGGGUUUUUCACUCCGAAUUGGAGUUUUUCCAUGUUAAAUUCUCGGUGUGCUGUUUUAUUUUCCGCUACUGUGUUUUAUUUGCAUCGAGACUUUCGAGUUUGCCGUUUUUACACCUAUUCACCCCCCUCUAGGUGUUACUUACCUUUUAGAUCCUCGGGAUCCAUAUCUUACAACCUGUUGUUGCCUCCUUUGGACCUAUUGGUCGAGCUUUUUCCUUGGGUGGCCGUACCCACUGGGAACCAUGGAGUUGGUUCUCACCCCACGUUGUUUUGGGGUGUUACAGGUUCACACGUGAGCGGCGCGGCGGCGCGAGGCGAGGGCGUAGCUCCGUAGUUAGCGCCCUACUACCGAGACUAGAG
rnacentral:lncRNA from 1 species